CUCCCAUAGGACUCCUUCUGACCACAAUUCUCUCUCUUUCUCAAAAGCCUCACCCGACCGUCACGCCAGCUACUUCAACAUCACCCACGUUCUCACCAAGCCCAGCUGUCCCUUCCCUGCCCACCUAUAAAUAUCCCCCGCCCGUCACUUCGCUUUCCUCCGCCCCCAAAGGAAAACCCUUCUCCUUGAGCUUGAAGAAGAAAACUCGAAUCAGCAGCACACAACUUUUUGGUAACAACCAAAUGGCGGAAGUUAGCAUUGCGAAGGCUUUGGUGAUGAUGGUGGUCGUUUUGAUGGCCGUCGUGGCAGCAGCAUCAGCACAGGAGUCUCCCUCGCCGUCGCCUGAUGCCGGAGCAGGGUUUUCUUUGCCGGUUUCCGGUGCUAUGGUUGCGGUCUCUCUGGUGCUCUCCUCCGUCGCCUUGUUGAGGCAUUAUUGAGUUGAUCUUCUUAUUAUUUAUGUAUUAUUAUUUGCAUCCAUUCCCCAUGCUUGCGCUGGGGAAUUAUUAGAGGGGAAUUUGUUCUGUUUUGUAAUUUUUUGGAGUGAUUAUUUGUGAGUGUGGUUUGGUGGUCCCAUUGGAUUGUUUUUCCAUCAGAAUAUAAUAAAAUUCUUUUACUGCUUUACUUUUAGUGUAAUGGUUUAAUUUGCCAAAUUAAGUUUAAAUCUUUUGAGUCAUGGCCAAAAAAUAAAAAAAAAAAAGGGAAAAGUUAAAUAGCAAAAAUAGGACACUGUAAAUUCGUGGCUUUGGUUGUUCAAUAAAGUAUUCAAUGCUCGUUAGCUAAUUCAUUGGUUGUUUAAUAAAGUGUUCAACCUUCGUAGUAGUUCUUUACCUAAUUUCAUCUGGGAAGAUUUUUUUUUUUUUUCAGUCCAUAAUUUGUUCAUCGCAAUAGCGACGACAAUCUACGAGUUAAAGAGAAAAGUGUUGGAUUGCGUGGUAAGACAUGUGAAUGAGGUCAUUGAGAUCUAGCUAAGAAGGGUUGAAAAAAAGCCCUUAGUUGGAUUACAUGGGAAAGAAAUUUCUCAAUUUCUGUGGAAAUAUGAUCAACACCCUAUAAACUUAAGAUUCACCCCAGAACACAUCUAUUAUCAUGUAUGAUGAUGCCCCAUGUCUUCAAUCUAGCAAGUUAAAGAGGCAAAUCUAGGAAAACACGCCUUUGAAUUUAGACUAAGGUCGCAUUUGAUAAAAGUGAAAUUUGAAAUUUGAAUUCAUUAAAUUAUUGAAUUGUUAAGUAUUAAAUUUAAUGCAUUUAAAUGUAUAUCACAAGUUUGGCUUAUCACUUAAUUUGGUUUAGUGAAUAGUUUAUCACUUAAUUUUGAGAGUAAGUUUGGUUUAGAAAAUUCAGUGCUGUUCAAUUAAUUCAAAUGUUCAGUUUUUUAUUAUGAAACGAUUUGAAUAUAUUAAGAUCUAAAUCUAUUAAAUUUAAUGUUGAACUGAGUUAUCAAACAGGAUCUAAGCCAAGCAGAUUGUUUUAAGUGUAUAAUUAGCAGGUUAAUGAGCACAUGACCAUUUCUGGCCAUAUUGCGUAGAAAAGUAUCUCAAGUAGCUAUAAUUUGGCCCACAAAUUUCUUCUCUUGCCUUGGGCCAUCUCCAAAUGUACGUGCAUUCUUGUUAGAAGCUGCUUAGGCCAGUAGAGAACUGCCAAAUUAAGCAUAGACUUCAUAGGGUUGAUUUAUUUAUUUGGGUCAAACGGACUAUAGAGGAUUGAUAGGUCUCUAAUUAACACCCUAAACCCCAAAGGAAUGCCAUAGGUCAUACAUACAUCACAUAUUGACAACGUUACCAUAGCCAAUGGCAGAUUAAUCCAGAAUCAAGGGUGUAGAAUUCAAUAAUCUCAUUUGAACUCACAAAUAAAAAUCAUGUUUAACUAACAACUUUUAGUUAGAAAAAAAAAAAGAAAAAUGCCAAAAGAGGCAUGGUUUAGAAAAUUAUGGUAAGCACUAAGACUUUUCCAUCUUUCCCAUCGUAUGCUUUAAGCAAGCAUAAAAAACAUCUUAAAAGAUUUGAAUUGCGAAGGAGCUUGAGGGCAAUUGUAGGCACAUAUUAAAAGUUUGAAAUAAGGGAUAAUUGCAGAAACCUCUCUUGAGGUUUCUGACAUUUGCACUGACCUCCCUUGUAAUUUAAAAAAUUACACUGACCUCCCCUGAUGUUACUAAUCAUUUGCAAAUUUAGUCCAAACGAUUAAAAUAUUAUUUUAGAGAGUGAAAUUAGAAUUUUGUACUAGAUUUGUCCUUUGUGCUACAUAUCCAAUGAAUGACAAAGUACUAUAAAUCAAUUAACAAUUAAUAAAUUUUAAGGAAUAUAAUUUAUGGACAAACACACAUUACUCAUUUAAAGUACCAGCUCUUUACGAGUAUUUUACUUUCAAAUAUUUAAUUUAUGAUAAAUAUAUCAAUAUUUGUAAGUAAAAUUCAAAAAUUAUUAUAGUAAUAUUCUUACAAAAAGGAAAUCGAUAGGUUAUUUAUUUAAUAUAAAUUAAAUAUUUUUAAAAAAAAAUAAAUGGCCCAUAAAGUAUUAAUUUUUAUGACUUUCAUCCAUUAUACGAGUAAAGUAUUCGCUCUUUAUGUGCAUUUUAUUCUGAAUCAUUAAAUUUAUGUUAAAUACAUAAAUGUGUGUAACUAAAAUUGAAAAAGUGUUAUAUUAAUAUUUUUAGGGAAGAGAGAUUGGUAAGUUUUGUAUUUAAAAAAAUUAAAUAUUUGAAAGUAAAUACAAAUCUGUAUUUGAGCGCAAAUAUUUGUAUUAAAUUAAAUGUUUGAAAGUAAAAUACCCUUAAAGAACCGGUACUUUAAAUAGUUACUGGCUCUUUAUAGACAAACACGCAUUACUCAUAUAAAGUACCGUCUUUUUACGGAUAUUUUACUGUCAAACAUUUAAUUUAUGAUAAAUAUAUCAAUGUUUGUUAGUAAAAUUCAAAAAAUGUUACAGUAAUAUUUUUGCAAAAAGGAAAUCGGUAGGUUAUUUAUUUAAUAUAAAUUAAAUAUUUUUUUAAAAAUGACCCAUAAAGUAUUAAUUCUUUAUGGCUUUCAUCCAUUACAUGAGUAAAGUAUUGACUCUUUAUGGGUAUUUUAUUCUGAAUCAUUUAAUUUAUGUUAAAUACAUAAAUGUUUGUAAUUAAAAUUGAAAAAGUGUUAUAUUAAUAUUUUUACGGAAGAGAGAUUGGUAGUUUUUGUAUUUAACAAAAAUUAAAUAUUUGAAAGUAAAUACAAAUAUGUAUUUGAGCGUAAAUAUUUGUAUUAAAUUAAAUGUUUGAAAGUAAAAUACCCAUAAAGAGCCGGUACUUUAAAUAGGUAAUGCAUAUUUGUCUAUAAACUAUACUCCUUAAAGUUUAUUAAUUGUUAACUGAUUUGUAGUAUUUUGUCAUUCAUUGGACAUGUAGUACAAAUGACAAAUUUGGUAAAAAAAAAUUCUAAUUUCACUCUCUAAAACAAUAUUUUAAUUGUUUGGAUUGAAUUUGCAAAGGAUUAGUAACCUCAGGGGAGGCCAAUGUAAUUUUUUAAACCAUAUGGGAGGUCAAUGCAAAUGUCAGAAACCUCAAGGGAGGUUUCUGCAAUUAUCCCUUGAAAUAAUUAAGAGAAGACAUGUAACGUGGAGGCUACUGAUGUACUUUCCGGAUACCCACCUUUUGGUCAAUUCAAAAGUACGGUAGGUAUGAAAUGUACAUCAACGUAAGUAAUUCAAUCGUGGUUUCGUGAAAUUGUUACUAAGUUUGCCUUGUUUGGAAAGAGAAUUUCUACCAAAAUUUUUUUUUAUAUUUUUAUGAACACAUAUUUUAAUUAUUUUUUUAUCUUAUAUAUAUCAAAUUGUUACAAUACAUUUUCUAUAAAAAUUUUUAAAACUUACAAAGAUGACCAUUUCUCAUAUGAAAAUGACAUUACUAGAAAAACGUCCAAAGUUCCAUUAAAAAAAAGGAGAAAAUCCAAAUCGAGCAUUAAUCAUUUUGGGUACGAUAAAAUUUUGAAUUACCAGCAAGUUGUGGCUUUAUUGGAGAACUGGAACAAAUAAUAUUUCGCUCAUCAUAAACACAUUUCUCAACCCACCUUUUUAUAUUCCCAAUUAUCUUUUUAUCUCACAUAUAUCAUAUCACAAAAAAUAUUACAGUAAUUAUUCCAAAUAAUAUUUCAAAUAAUACUCUAUCCAAACAGACCCCAAGAUUGUCCAGGCACCAUGUGGGGUCAAAUAUUAAGAGGUGCAUCUUAGAGAAAAUCCUAUUCAAAUAUAAACAAUUGAGCUUAGCUCAUGGAAAAAAAAAAAAAAACAAAGUUGAUCAUGUUUAAAUAAAUUAAAAAAAAAUCCAACUCAAUCCCAACCAAUUCUUACAACUUUAUAAAAUCCAAGCUGUGUGCGAGUAGCUUUUUGAGAGAGCGAUAAUUCAUAGUUUAAGUUUUUUUUUUUAAAUAAAAAGUUUUGAACUCGCGACCUCUAACUCUUAUUUUAGCAUCCAACCCAACCUUUUCCUAAGAGUUCAUGCUUAGCUGUUUUUAUUUCUAUAAAUGGAAACUGAAAUGCUUGUCAUUAUUAGCUAGACAAAAGCUGCGCCAACAUAAUUUUUGUUAUACUCUAUACUAAUUAAAGACUAUUCUAUAAAUUAAUGAGUUAAUCUUACCUUUAAAUAUGAUUUCCAACUCUUGACCCAUACCUCAUGAAUAAAAGAUUUUUUUUUUUUUGGAUGAAAUCAUGAGGAAGCCAACGAUGGAGGAUGUAAUGGACAAUCUAACUCACAAAUACGGAGAAUUAUAUACAACUCAGUAGCACAAGUAAACCCACGAUUAGUGGGAAAAGAAAUUCACUUAUAGAGACGCUCGAAUUUAUAGAUUUCUAAUUCUUAAAACCUAACUUUAAACUAUCAAUUUAAGGUCUCACAGGCAUAAGGUGCGUUAAUAUAGGUACAAAAAUUUGCCUUGAAUUUUGGCUGUUAAUUGAAUACAGACAGACAGUCCUACAUAUCAUCAAUUUAUGAUCUCAUAAUCAACGUCUGGCUCCUUUCCAGCCAAAAAAUACUACUAGACUAGUUCCGUUUGGAUUCAUCAUUUUUUUUAAAAAAUAAGUUUUUUUAUAUACAAUGUUACAUUAAUAUAUAAUAAAAAUUAAUCUCAAAAAUACCAAAAAUAGUCUCAAAAAAUAAUCUCAUCUACAGUAAAUAUUUUUUACCUAUAAUAUUACAGUAAAAUAUUUCAAAAAACAAGUUUGGAUUGAAGUUUUUCUCAAAAAAAAUUCUUAAAGCUUUCCGUGACUACAAAUUUCUAAAUAACUUUUUAUCUCGCGUACGUUAAAUCAUUACAGUAUAAUUUUUUUUUUUUUACUAAAAAUCAAGAAAAUGACAAUCCAAACAAGAGCACCGUGUUAACAAUCAAUUAACGAAAUCCAGGAUUGUUCCCAAAUCCUCGAGUGCAACAGUUACAAAAUGCUAAAGAAAGAGCACUGCCAGUAGGACAAAAUGUAAGCCAAAAAUCAAUCACCAUAAAGGCAGGCAUCAACAAUCCAGCCGUUACGCCACGUAUCCCCUCUUCUCUUCUUCUUUUUCUUCUUUCUUUAACCACUUCAAACGUUGGUUGAACGAACCUUCUCCCCCCCCCCCCCCCCCCCCCCCCCCCGCGCGUAAGGCAAUCCAGCUGUCCCUAUUCCGCGUAACCCCUAGGCAAUCCCAAUUCCCACCCCAUCAAGAUCUCCCUAUAAAUACCUUGACAGCCCGUCAACAUUCCUAUUCCAUCACAGAACAGCACAAGAAUUUCUAAGGUCCCGUCCCCUACUUUUUCAUCCCCACAUCGUUCAGUUCUUACUCCUCUCGACUUCUGCUGUAUUCUUCUUCUUCUUCCUAAAUGGCUUCUCAAGUUAGCUUCAUCAAGGCGUUGGUGUUCGCUGUUGUCAUGAUGUUGGCCGUAGCGGCGGCCUCCGCCCAAGAGUUGGGCCUCUCCCCGGCAGCUUCACCGGAUGCCGGAGCUGCUUUCUCUUUGCCGGUGUCCACCGCUUUCAUUGCCAGCUCCCUGCUCUUCUCUGUUUUUGCUCUGUUGAGGCACUAAGAUUACAGGAUGCAAGGAGAGAGGUUUUUGGGAUGGCGAGCGUACUUAGUCCUUCUAUGGUACCAGCAUAGUUAUUAUGGACCUAUUCAAUUUUAUUAUUUUAUGUAAAAAUUUGAGAUGACUGAGUCUAUAUAUGAUCCUUGUAUCUGUUGAUACAUAUAUUGUAUUAUAUUUAUACGUUGAUGAUGGUUGAUGGGAAAUAAAGUUUGCUAUUUAUUGUAUCAGUCCGUUCUUAUUUGGAGUUCUUCAUUUUUGCAAGACUCAGAUAGUAGACCCCAAUUUGUUGUCAUCCCAAAAAAAAAAAAGAGGAAAAAAGGGGCCAAAAGCCAAACAACAUGAAAGGUCUUUUAUCCCCCCCCCUUUUUUUUUUUUUAACAAAAUGAGAGGGGGAUAAUUAUUUACCCUCUCCCCCACCACUUGGGAUCCUCGGUGACAUGUUUUCUAUGUCAAUUCAAUAUCACCUAUAGUAUUGCGCCAAAUAUCAUAUUAUUAUUUACACUUGUGUUAAAUCAAACUAAAUUGAAUUAUUAAAAAAUUAAAGUGUAAAUAAUAACAAGACAUUUGGCGCAAUAUUAUAGGUGACAUUGGAUUGACAUAGAAAACGUGUAAUCAAAGAUUUCAAGUGCCCCACCCCCCAACACAAAAAAAAAAAAAAAAAAAAAAAGAGCAUGGGAGAGCGGCUACACAAUAAAAUUUUGCAAUUCCCAAAAAUUGAUCUAUUGUGUUAAAGUGGCUGUGAAUUGGUGAAAAAUUCAAUGGCGGAUUAAUGGGCUAAAGGUUGGAAUAUGGAAAUAGAUUUGAUACCACUACGGACUACCUAUUUCAGUUGUUGUUGCUCUCUGAAAUUACAUAUCCAUACAAGGGUUCGAGUUUCGAUUGAUAUUUGUGGAGUUUCUUUUUUUAAAUUUAUUUAAAGAAUAUAUAUGGUUGGUCCUAUUAAGGCUUCCCAUGUAUUAUAAUAUCUCUAUCUUAGUGAAGAAGACUGUUGUCAAAUAUGUAAAGAUAGCUUCUUUUUAGCUUCCAAUAUAUGUCCUCAAAUAUAUAUGGCUCGUAAAAAAGGAAAACAAAUUUAUCUAUUUGCGUCAUAGGCACAAUGGAUGAGACGCGUACAUUUGUCAUAUUAGUUUGUCGUACCAAGAAUUUUUCAAAAAAAAAAAAAAAAAAAAGGAGGUUUGGCAUACCAAGAAAAGAGCGUUCAAAAAUUUCUUUAUUUGUCCUUUAUCGAUGUAAGAUGUAAAAACUUUACGUCCAAAUCAACCAGUCCGACAAAUGAAGCCGUUACGUUACGUACGCCUUCUUCCUUUAGGCUUUAGCCACACAACAAAAUUCAAACGUCGGUGGUGAACCGCCUUUGCCGUCUUCAUCCUCUCCCGCUCCCACCACCUGUCGCCCUUCCACCUCUAUAUAUUCAAUCGCAAAAACAACUUCGAAUCAACCAAUUUACACGCCCUUUCCUCUCCUUUGAAGAUCCUUAACACCAUUUACACCCUCGAUCUCCUCUCAUUUUACAAAUGGCCUCUCUGCAGGGUAGCAUGAUCAAGGCCAUGGCAUUGGCAAUUGUGAUGUUGGCCGUUGCAGCCGCCUCAGCCCAAGACCUGUCCCCGGCACCGUCUCCCAGUGAAGGCAAUGCAGCAUUUUCUCUGCCGGUCUCCACCGCCUUGAUCGCGAGCUCCGUGCUCCUCUCUGUCUUCGCUCUGCUAAGGCAUUGAGUAUUUGAAGAGUUUUUACGUGAGCAGCAAAGAGCAAAUUGUUUGAACAUGGAGGAGAGAAAGAGGGUUUUGUUUUGGAUACAUUUAUUUUGUUUUGGAUUUUAUUACCAGAUUUUUUGUAUUAAUUACAUGUUAUUGAAAUGUACUGAGAAAUAAAAAUUCUGAUUACUUUAUUAUCAUGCUUACAAUCUCUUUUCAGGCUUAAUGGGUUUUUUUUUUUGCCUUUUAUACGAUGAAGGAGUAGUUAUAAGUUCAGCAUAAAUUCGAAGAAAAAGAUUCCAUGAAAUGCUUGAUCUUUGAAUUGAUUUCUAUGUAUUUUUUUUUUCUUAAGGAAAGAGAUAACUUGAAAACAAAAAAAAAAUUAAAAAUAAAAAUUAGUUAACGUUAUUCUCUAAAGGCCAAAUUCCAGACAUACUCAAAAAUAAUGUGCAAGUAAAUUGAUCUCAAUAAACUAAAUUCAACCAAAAAGGGAUGAAAUAAAUAUUAAACUUAAUAUUUUUCGUGAUUGUUGAAACGUAGGAAAUUCACUGGGCAUUUCUUUAAAAGAAAAUCUAUGUACUGAUGGCUUCUUUAAAGUAUAUGUGUAUCCUUUUUUUUUUUUUUCUAGAUAUAAUGCCUCUAAAAUAAUAACAAGUUGUUUAAAAAAAGAAAAAAAUAUGAUUGAAAACAAUGUUUAGGGAAUAGAGUAAAUUAUUAUUAUAUAUCAUUUUACAAAAUAUAUAUAUAUAUAUACCUAUUCAAACUGCCAUUUGUCCAUUUACACUGCUAAUUCUUCCCUUGCAGUUACUUAAUCAAUUUGUUUACUACUUGUCCUAUUUCCGUGGACCAUGGGGCAAAUAGGUGUUGAAUCUGUCCAAGAAUCUGCAUUCUGAAUUUAACAAUUGAAUGCUCUUUCUUUCACAUAUGGCUGCAGUGUUUGGUGUUUACGUGAAAGCACACAGGCCAGCAUGACGUUAAAAUGGGCAGGCCAAGUCCAGGCGACCUUCUAAAUUCCACCUAUACCUGCUCAAGCAAGCAUACCGCACCGCCCCACGUUUGGUAUGUGGUGGAUCCCCAAUUCUAUACAACAACAAUUCUUGAUGGUACCAACGGACGUUGGUGCAAGUGGAAGGAGCUUGCAUCCCUUAACCAUGAGGUCUCGGGUUCAAAACCUAUGAGAAUGGAAAAAACAAUGUUGGGAGAGCUUUCCCCUGCAAGGGCCUGACCCGGCUCGAACAGGAUUAAUCGCAAUCCAUAAAAUGGAUGCGAACACUUGUGGGUUAUAUCUUAAAAAAAAAAAAAACAUUGCUUGUGGUAUACAAGUUGUGAAUUAGAAUUAGAAUGCAAGGCAACUGUAUUUUAUCCUCCUUUCAUCUGUAAUUGAUCAUAUAUAGAGCUAGGAAGCUAGAUUUUCAAUGAAUAUCUUGAACCAGGUCUAAACUAGAUUUUGUUACCCUAUAAAUGACUACAUUUCCUUCUUCUCAGUGAAGCAAAGACCGAAAAAAAGCAUUCAUAGACGUACAAGAAGUCGUCUUGAAGUAAAGUGAUGGAUUAAGCGAUUAUGACUAUGCGUUUAGAGUGUAAGGUCCUGUCUGAUAACUCAAUUCAGCGUUUAAAUUUAAUGGAUUCAGAUUUUAAUAUAUUCAGCUUCGUUUGAUAAUCAAAAAUAGAAUAUUUAAAUUAUUUAAGUAGUACUAAAUUUUCUAGGCAAAAUUUGAUCUCAAAAGUAAGUGAUAAGUUAUUCACUUAUCAUUUCAUGUGAUAUACAUUCAAAUAUAUUAAAUUUAAUAUUUAACUGUUCAAUAAUUUAAUGAAUUCAGAUUUUAAAUUUCAAAUUUCAGUUUUUAAAUUUCAAUUUUAUUAAACGCGCUCUAAAAAUUGGUAAGAUAACAUGAGACUAGUCGGCGAAUAGCUGUAACUUUCCUACUAUUCACCCUUCUUUUGCUCAUAGACAGCCCUUGAUGCAAUAAUUGUUCCUUUUAAAUUAUUGCAACCAUCCCAUGAGCUGAUCUUCGGAGAUUCAACAGCUGCUGCAUAUUGCUUUAAUUAUGAAGUCAACUUUCAGCUGGAUUGCUCUGUUCCAUUUGUGCUCAAUUUGUUCCUUUUCUUCCUUCUGCCGACUUUAUCAAACUCAUCUCAAUUUGUCCACAGCUUUCUUAGAGUUCUUACAAAAUCCUUCUUUACCCUAUUGGGCUGCCGUCUGACAAUGUCGAUCUCCUCCACUCUUUCAUUAUUGACAUAGAACUUUACCAUAGUACGUCGAUCUUCAGAGCUAUGUGUUGCAUUGUAACUUCUUAUUAUAUAGGACAAGUGCGGCAAGCUGGUUAAUAUACUGCUACUAUCAAAAUUUCUACAGCAACAAUAUCUACGAGCUCGAAUUUGAUCUCAAAAUUUUGCAUGCAAAACAUGCAUUCCAUCUAAACCCGUUAGCGUAAAUCCUACCAUCAAAAAUGAAUAAUUCUUUAAUCUACUCUCUAACAUUAUUCUACCGAUGCAAAAGAUGAUGCUUAAUACGAUGGAGUGCAAAUGAUUAUGCUUAACGAUGUGAUUGGACAGGGUGAAAAAUCAUUGUCCAUUUUGAACCUCGUUGGCAGAAACAUGGAUCAUUAUGAAAGUGAAUCGAAUUCUGGACCCCCAAUCCUGGACUUCUAACGUUACAAUGUGUGAAAGAGUACGAUACCUGGGGACAAAAAGGAAAGAAUCAAUCACCCGCAAAUCCAGCUGUUACGCCGCCUUAAUUAGCUAUUCGAUCUUGUUCUUUAAAAGUCUAAAUUAGCCGCUUUUAAUAUUCAGACGUUGGAGAACGAACGAACGUUCUGGUUCCACCAGCUGUUCGUCAUUGCGCGUUAAGUUCAAUCUACACGCCAAAAUCUCCCUAUAAAUACCACCAGGUCUUCACUCCCAUUCCAUCACAGAACAGCAAACUUCUGUAUUUCUAUUGCCGCUACUACAGCUGCGACUUUUGCUAGAAAGAAGUAAAAGACAUCUUCAAGAAAAUGGCUCAAGUUAGUAUGAUCAAGGCUUUGGUGUUGACAAUCGUCAUGUUGGCCAUUACUGCCGCCUUGGCUGAAGAGGUAAGCCUGGCCCCGGCACCGUCUCCUGAUGCCGGAGCCGGGUUUUCUUUGCCAGUGUCCACCGCUUUGAUCGCCGCGUCUCUGCUCUCGUCAGUUUUUGGUCUGAUGAGGAAUUGAGGUUUUCUUCAUGGACCAGAGUUUUUGCUCGUAUACAUUUACCAUUGAUUAUGGACAUAUUCUUUUUGUUAAUUACAUGCAGGAAUUUGGCACCUGAAUUCGUGAUUCUUUCAUCCCUGUAUUUGUGUAUCACUACAUUUAUUCAAAGAUAGCGAGGAAUAAAAAUCUCUAUUUUGUUAUCAUCAUGCUUUUGUUCGUGUAAGAUUUACAAAUUGAAUUGUAUUUUCUCCUGUCUUAUCUUUAUAUCUUUUACUUUUUCAAUCCGAUAGCGUGUCGCCUAAACAGCAAGACUAAUGGUCUCAAAAGCCCCACAUGUAUGUUGCUCUCAAAUCCAAACUUUUGGAUCUUCUAUUCCUUGUUUUCCCCUUUUAAUUCACCUUGAAAAUGCCAUCGUUUCUGGAUGCAAAACUGUGGGGAGACUAUGAAAGAUUGCGUUUUUUUUUUUUCUGGGGAAAGAAAAGAGCCAAAAUUUUAUUAAUAUGAGAUAAUGUCCGCAACAAAUGCGGUAAUAAUAAAAUCUGGAGGGGAGACUAUGAAAGAUUGCGUUAGUCAAUAAGGAAUUGUAAAGUUUUUUUUUUUUUUCUUUCUUUCUUUGUAAAGGAAACCGAAUUAGAGUAUUUUAAAUAUUAGCACAUUCGAUGUUUAAUUACUAGAAUAGUUAUAGGUUUCCAACAAUGCGUUUAGGGCAGUAGCGACCUAUGAGCAGGGGAUAACUGAUUCAAAGAACUUUUGUCCACCACUUCAAUUCAGUCACUACAAUAUCCUGUAUUCCAUUGUAUGGAUUCAAUUCUUUAUUUCAUCAUGCCUUAACCCGCAACCACCUGCCACUGUAACGAGACUUCCAAGUGGACGCGGGGCUGGAAGGUGUAACACCAUUUGUACAUGAUGUAACAUCAUCUGUACAAGGUGUAAUAAUUGAACAACAGCGAGUAAAAUAAAACAACAUUUUUGUGGGUCUUACACGGCGUGAAAAUCGAGUUACAAGACGUGACCUGAACCGCACAAAUUUUUGAGGCUUCAUCCAAGCCGUGAACUGCCUGGACGGUUGUCGAGCGUCCAGGCCCCUCGUCCCUUCCAAGUUCCCAACUGCAGCUGAUAACAUGGUAAGCAUAAAAUACGGCGCCGCCCACGUUAGCCACAUGGCGCAUCAAUAAUAGCCCACUCACUCACUCACUCCCAGUUAAGCUCCAGGUAACCGGAAUCAUGCCGGGAGCGGGAGGGUGGGACGAAUGCUUUCGAAACGGUGUUGUCCAAUUCAACAAGUUGUACGUUUAAUUUUUUUUUUAAAAAAUGUAAAUUAUUUUAAAAUACGAAGUAAAUAUAAAAUAAACUUUUGCAAAGUUCAACAAUGGCUAAAAAUUCUUCUGGUAUUUUGUCAAGAGAAUUGAAUAGGCGCUUGAUUUGGCUGAGUGGGAAAACUAAGUGCCAUUUGUUUUUUCCAAACCAAUUCAAUUUGGUAGUGACAUAUGAGGUUCAGCUUAAUAUCGACACUUUUUCCUUUCUUUUUUCUGUUGAAAUACUAUAUGGUAUAUCACAAGUGGUUAUAUCUAACAUCUACACCAAGAUGUAUACAAGAAGAACAUGGUAGUAUGAUUUAUGAAACGAUGCAUCCUACCAUAUAUACUACGCUAAUGGCUUCCAUUAAUUUAAUGGAGCGGAAGUCCUUCGAGGUUGAACGAUCACUUGAGAAGGAGAGGCUUCGGAUUCUUGAAUAUCCAACUCAUGCUCGGCAAUUAUGAUGCAAGAAUCAGCUUCCAGGGGUGAGUUCAAGUUCUUGUCCUUGGAGGACUCUUUGGGUGAAUUGAGCAUAUCAGCUGAGCACUGAACAUCAGGUGUUAUUCCAACCUGAUCAAUGUCAUGAAGUCCUGGGGACAAGUAUUUUGCCACUGUUAUAAAUAAAGCCGAUCCGUCAUCCAGCUCCGUUAUGCUCUGCAGCAAAAUGACUCAGCAUUGUUAAGGGAACUGAUGUGCAGUGCCAUAAGUUCUCAAAGAAGUGGUGAUAAAAAAGUGAUAAGGUAACCCCAAAGUCGAAAAGGAUUCAGAUGUUUAAGAGUCAGUAGGAGGAAUCCAGCCAUUAGGAUGCCACCCCAAUGGCAAGACUUCAAACUCCUGGUAGAUGGCAAUUAAAUGCUUCUUUGUUCUAACAUUUUAACCAUCCCCAAUUCCCAACUUGAUGGCCACAGGUUGAGUUCAGCUAAUCUUAAGCAUUUGAGGUGACGCCUAGUGUAAUCUCUUGAAACCACUUGAACAAGCUAAGAAAAGUUUUUGGCGUGUCCACCACAACAUGGUAGUCUAAAAGUCAGACCCAGAGCUUCCCAAAAACGGCCAGUUUGUAAAAAUCAGUCUGAGGAAGACAAGGAUAUGUUUCCUGGUAUCUAUUACCUUUAGGGAAAAAAAGGGAAUCUCUGAUAUUUUUAUGACCUCAUCCUUUGAUUCAAAGCUCCAAGUUAUUGAUCCUUAGAUUAUGAGCGGAAGUUUGAGAUUUUAAAUGAUGGAAUGCGUCUAUAACAGUUAUGCUUUUAAGAAGAUACUGCAAACCUGUAUUUUUCCCUUCCCAAAAGUUCUAUGACCAACAAGAAGUGCUCGGCCAUUGUCAUGAAGAGCUCCUGCCAGAAUCUCACUGGCACUUGCACUUCCCUCGUUCACCUGUUCAAGUAAAAGGAAAGAAGUUCGCAGGUCAAACCAUGGGAAUGCUUUCGGGAAGUAUUAUUCAAGUAUCUCUCAAGCAAAAAGAGAUCCAUCUACACUUCUAUGUUGUCAGAAUCAUUCAUCUACUCACAAGGACAACAAGUGGAUCGUGUGUUACAGCAUGCCCGUUGGCCAUGCUGAUUGAGAACAAAUUACCAUCUCUAUCAAUGGUGUUUACAAGAGUCUCAUCCCCAUCAAGCCAAAUUUGGGCAACAUCAAGUCCUGCUUUGACCAAACCGCCCUGCAAGAUCAUAAGGAGAAAAAAGAAUACUUGUAAUCAAGUUAUGAAUGUGCAUUAAAGGUACAAAAAACUUUGCACCAAGAGAACAGAAAUCCUUGAGCUUACAGGAUUAUUCCGCAGGUCUAAGAUGUACGAUUGUACGCCUUGAUUUUCCAUCUCACGGAUGGUAUUUUGCAUAUCGGUUGCAGAACUCUGUCAUAUUAAAAGGAUGUCAUGCAAACAUGAUGUGCAAAAGAAGAAGUGACUGAAUAUCAUGAGUUUUUUCUGACUACCUGAGAGAAAGCUGACAAUUUCACAUAUCCAGUUUUUGACAUGUGACCGUCUGGUGUUCUGUGAGUGAUGAUAGCACUGGAUACUGGUGAGAACCGAAUUACUUCACGAGGUAGUUUUACCUUCACGAUAUUGUGUAGUUUUAUAUAAGUUCAUCGAGUAAUAAAUACUGGAUCUAGGUUGCAGCACAAAGCUCUGAUGUGGACAUGUUCUAUUCCAAAUUACUGCAAUCUAGCCUUUGAGAUAACCGUCACUAUGCCAGAAUUAACUAGCCAUGUAAGAUGCAGUAUACCAACUAAUUGUACUAGUAAUGCAUUUGUACCUCUCUGAAAUUAGAAUUUUUGGAAUCAGUACCCUGAAAAGAAUGAAAACAAACCAGCAAGAACAGGAAGUUAGAAUGUGAGUACAACAUGUGAUUACCAAUGCAUGUUAAAUAUGUCAACUCUCAGAUUGACAUGCUUGUAUAUGGAAGUCAAGUUACAUCCACCAUCUUAGAACUUCAACUGACAAUGACACCAACAAAUCAGCAUCACUGAAUGUUCAUAUGCAUCAUCUAAAUGUGAUUGAUUUCAUGCAGCUGUCGGGGGCUUAGUCUUGUUAUAAACAAAGUGAACAUUUUUAUGUUGGAAGUGAAGCAAUGGUUACUUAACAAGAAAAUAUGUCAAAGUAUCAUAGAAUGUUGGAUAAAAAUGAAAAUUUCCUGACCUGUCAACUGACUCAUUGUUUGAAAGAACCAGAGACAUCCAGUUUUAGAAACUUUGAAUCCAAUCAAGGUCUGAAAUGAAUCUUGACUUCUGGAUUCCUUGUCAUUUUUAACAUUUGCAAAGCUAAGAUGCAUAAUUGUCUAAUUGAAGGAUGCUGCAGUUUUUGAGAACACACUAUGGCCAUGUUGACUACAAAGAUUGGAAGGAAAAUUGCUUACGGGGUGAAUUUUUACAGUAACAGUUGUGCCAGCACGGCCUCUGAGCUUCUGUGCUGCUGCUUCGCUUCCGAUUCCCUCAAGGCCUUCCCCUGAUUUUUACAAACAACAGUCAACAAUGCUUUAGGCACUUUUUUUUGUACACGUAUCUUUUCCUACCAAGACAAGUUGGUAGAAUAACACCUAUAUUUAUUUCAAGUACACAGUGUGUAGUAUUAAAGAAUUAUGAACAGGACCUUUUGGAACGAAGAUAACUACAAGCAAUGAGUUCUAAUCACUAGCUGAGUGGUAACCCCCGAGGCUGUUCGUGGUCCUAAACUGACAGUCAAGAGAAAAGGAUUCGCAGUGGAUAAAAAUAGAAAGCUUCCCCCAUCAACAACAUCUCUUCCCAGAGAGGAAGUGCUUACAGAAAGCACUUAAAAGUAGAUUGGAAAAUCUCAAACUUUAGAGAUGAAUAAAAAACUUCAGGUGAGUCCCAAAGAAAUUUUGUUAAAUGAAGAUUCAAAUUUACAAUAUUUGAUUUCGUUGUCAUUAUCCAAAUUUAUUUGUUUCUGAACCGUAUGUAUGAGUUUGAAUGCAUCUGGAGAUAAAACCACAAGGAUUGUGUGGAUAAAGUCAAAUAAAUGUGGCUGACUUUAGGAUUUUCCUUUAGAGUACAUGAGUCAGUAAUCUACACAAGGCAAUUCAGUUACUUAAAACACAUCAUCUGCCUACAUGGCAUAGACAUAAUUUAUGCAUUGCCUUGGCCUGAUAGUCUAAACUAAAUCCAGAAAAUUGAAGCAAAUUUUCAACUUAAAAAGAACUAACAGCAUUGCACUCUAUCCACAGGGUAAAUUAUCUGAAGCAUAUAGACCUUUUAACUUUCACAUAAAUCAGUAUAAUUAUUUAGAAUCUGCCAAGAAAAAAUUACAAUCCAUCUUUGAGAUUAGGUCCUAGAGUCUCAUUUAUUUCACUCAGCCAUUAUGAAUGGGAGUAUUGUUUGAUAGUAGCUCAGCCUAUAUUAAAUUAUGGAAAAUACAUAAAUAAAUCUUGUUAAUUGAACUCCUAUUAAGCUCUCUUAAUUGAUAAGAUGAAGAGUUUGGUCGUCAUUUACCAUUAAUUUCAACCAGCUCAUCUCCUUCAUGUAUACCAGCACGUGCGGCAGGACCAUUCUCCACACAUGAUGAAACAACCUGCAGUUAGAUGACAAUGAAAACAAUACAUAACCAUUUGUAGUCAAAUCUUAGAAACAAAAACUAUAUGAAUGUUUGCAGGGAUCCAAGAACCUGGACAGAUAAACAAAUAUUUUACAGUCUCAGUAUAAAUUAGAAACAUUUAGGAAUUUAGUAGUCAAUCCGCUUGGUGGACAUAAUGUGCAGUCAAAUGAAUGCAAAAGAGAAACAAAACAAAUAGACACAAGUGCCAAGAAGAGAAAGGCACAGAAUAACAAUGGUUCUCAUCACAUCAGAAUAACAGCGGUUGUGUUCAGUCUUGUUUCCCCUCAAGGGUUGCAUCUUGUGACACCCUGCUCAAAUUCUGGGGAGCAUGCAGACUAUCAGUUAUGGUGACAGAAUAAUGCUUUGUUCCAGAGUUUCAUGAUCCAUAUCACCAUGAAUGCAGCUACAUACAUCUUCACUUCUUUUCACCUGCUUUGCUUUUGGUUGAUUUUUCCUAAUAUGCUGGCUAUAGGCUUCGGGCUUCUUAAGCUUGCAAUUAUCUUAAUUAAAUAGGUAGACAACAGCUUCAAUUAGACGGGUGUCAAAAAGUUUAAGCAAGUGUAGUAGGAAGCAUGGUAGCAAGUUUAUGACCUAUGCUUGAUUUGAAUAAAUUUUGAACGCAUUAAUUGAUUUAGUAAUCCAUUUAGGAGCACAGACUUACAGACAAUGCAGAUUAGACAAUGUAUUGUUUUGGCCUGAUUGCUAUUAAUAGAAUAUGAAAGCACAAGUUCAAAAGAAUGUGUUACCAACCAGGUGCCCUGUUUUUGGUUCGACAGUAAUGAAGAGACCAACACCUUGCAAAUUUCCAUCAGUUCCUAUUCUAAAGCUCUGGUAUUCCUGCAUUCAAGAACCCUCUACAAUAAAUCAUAAACAAAAUUGAAACUUUAGAUGUACCAAAAUGGAACAACACAGCAGACUAGGUACUUUUGACAUAAAAUGAGCUCAACGUAGUUUCUAGCAAUUGCAUUCCGAAAUGCCAAGGAAGGAGUUGGAAAUUUAGAAAUAGGAACUUUAUAGAACUGGAAUGACUAGAAUAGCUGCUCCAAUCUUUGAAAUUAUAGCAUGUUAAGCAGGUAUGACAGGGAAGAAGAUAAAAUCAAAGGAACAACCUGGCGAUUAAGAAAUCCAGCGGAUUGUCACUUUUUAUCAUGCCAGGAAUGAUAUUGGAUAUUGGACAUUCAUAUCUUCCGAUGGUUAUUACCUUAGGACUGAUAAUGCGAGUAAAGGGAUCUCCAAGAGAAGAAAGCAUUCCCUUAAUCUUGCCAUAAGCUGCAUCUUCUGACUUAAGAGGAAAUAUUUCUACCAUUGUCUGCUGAAGUUUCAAAUCCCAGUCUGCAAAUCGAAACUUCACCAAUUCAGAGAUCACACCGAGUUUCAAAUAGUGCUUGGUAAAUGGGAGAUAAGUCUCUUAAUAGAGUGGAAUAAUCAACAGCUAUCAAGAGCAUGGGACAGGAAGGACUAGCGACAAUCUUAUCAUUUCUUUUUGUUUAUUCAAUCUACCAAGAAAAAUUCCAUUUGCCAAUCAUGUAUUUCUCCUCAAAUUAGACAGUUCUUGACAGUGCCACAUUGCAUGCAAUUACAAGCUUGAAAUUAUUUUAUUUCUCACGGAAAAAAAUAUCUGAACUCAAGAACAUGCAUUAAAGAAUUGCGAUUUCAUACCUUGAUGAUUGAAAGUAGGAUCAACAAAGGUUUCCCUAAUCAGACCCCAAGCUUCCACAAGGGUUCUCUGAACAGUAUUUAUCUACCAGUAAAACAAUUCCAUAAUCAGGAAACUCGUAAAACAAAAGUAAAAAUCCAAGUUAAACCAAACCAGGCAACAAAAUACUCAGGAAGAUACAGUUCAAGAACUGAAUUGCUUCAGUAAUUAGUUACCUCCCGCGUGUGAGAAACCGGGAAUGCAAUAGUAAUAGACUGUGCAAAAGCUGGAGAGUCAGAACAACAUAAGGAUACAGCAGCAGCAAACCCAAAAACUCCACCACUGACCCAUCUAAACAAACUGUCUUUUAAUUCAACAGGUGCAUUAUUCUUUUGCUGUGUAUUGGACUUCCUUGUUGCAGGUAAUUUAUGUCCAAAUUUUUUGUUUUUAUCACAAAUUGAGCUAGGACUAGGAAAGAAUAACUUUGAAGUGGGUCUUUGAAACAAUUUAGAAAUUAGAGAAGUAGUUGAUGGGUUGAGAUCAAAAUUCGAGCAGAAAGAUUCCAUAAUUCUAAGCGGAAAAAAUGAGAUGAUUUAAGAAAGAAUUCUUGACUUUGAGCUCUUAGUCUAUUUAAAAGUUGGAGUGGUUAGGCAAAAUUUUGCAUGGACCGUUGUGUCGUGAAUCUGGUUAGGCCUGCUAAGGAUCUUUGUUCGUUGAUACUUUGUGGUGAUUAAAUCUGUUGCGUGGACGAGUGUCCGAGUGGUAAAAAAUGUUCUUCCAAGUGGACCAAUAGAUAGAUUGGUUCAUAUUAUGUGAUUCUUAAGCAUUUAAAAUUACUAAAAUGAGGAGGAUCUCGCUUUUUGGUGGGGUUCAAGAAAACAGCCCUCCAACUUUGCUCAAUUUGCACACUGCCCUGUCGCUUUCUCGUUUGCCUUCAAUACGCCCUUUACUAGACAUGUUUGGCUCGUUCGAGUUUGAAAAGGGUUUUGAUCGAAUGAUACGAAUUUAGCUUCAACACAUUUAUUAUUAGGAUCAUUUACCAGUCGAGCUAAAGAUGGAAUUUGUUUGUAAGCAGAUCAACUAUAUUUGUGAUCAUAAACAUUAGGUAUACAUAUACUAAAUUAUAUAAUAAACAAAUAGAUGCAAUUCCUUUUUUUAAAAAAUUUGUUUAGUAGAAAAGGAGUAGGAUUUAAGAAGCGGAAAGAGUGUAGGGGAAUUAGAAUUUAAAAUCUCUACGUAUUAGGAUUUCGACCUUAGUCACUAAGCUAAAAUAAGUGACUACAAAUCCAUUUGCAAAUAGUUUUGCAAACACAUACAUUAUAUAUACACGCGCAUCUGUCCCUAGUUUCUAAUCCUACAAAAUAUGUAUAAAAGUAUGUUGUGAAAAAAAUAUAUACUUCACUAAAUAAAAUCUUCAGAUCCUUCUCUUUUCCUAUUGCUACUCAAAAUCCACGACUUUUUUGUCUCUUCUAGUCGAUCAUCCUUCCCCUCAAAGCUCAAAUCUAUUUAUCCCUUCAUUCUUAUUCACAAACCCUUUCUUAUAUUCAACUCCCAACGAUCCUUGCAUUGGUAAGUUGGAUUUAUUUUCCUUUUGUUUUCUACUCUUAUUCUUCUUUACCUUCCAAUCUUGAGCCUCUAUUUUCUUCUUUUUAUUUUCUUUAACAUGCAUAUGAAGCAAUAAAGCUUGAUUUAUUGUGUCUCUUUUCUAGCUUUUCGUUCUUUGAUUCUUAUGAUAGUUUGCACCUAUGACCCUUAUAUUUUAAUGUUUUCUUUCUUCUAUUUUUUAAGAGUAUUGAAAUAAGGUUAUAAGAACAUCAAUCCUUUCAUAUUUUACAACUAAUAUAAAAUUUGUUAAAUGAGUAUUGCAAACUCAAGUUCGAACUCAGCUUGGUCAAGUUUAAAGAGCCAAACUCAACUUUCAACUUGAAUUCCCAUAUAAUGUCAAACAAUUGAGCUCCAAGUGUAAUAAUUAAACAAACACAAAUGCUGUGCUCAUAACAUACGGAAAGAGAUUAAAUACUAGGUAAUCAGCUCGUUAGUUGCUCUUUUCCACUUGAAAGAAAGAGAAGCUUUGUAAAGAGAUAAAGAAUUUGGAAAUAAUUGCGACAGGAAUUAAGAUCCCCAAAAUAACACAUUCUUCAAUUCAUUGUCUGGUCCUUCAAUUCUUUUGUUUCUCACGAAAGUAACCCACAAACAUGGUGAAGUGUUUAACAGGCCUAAAAAAGGUUGGGCUUAAGAGCAAUAUACGGGGGGUUGGGCUUGGUUAGUUCACAGUCCAUCUCUAAAUGAGGGUUGGAAAACUAUAUAUUUGGCAAUAUAUCAAUAUAUAUCUCUAGAAUUAUAAUUUACUUGAAGGGAAAAUCGUUCAAAAUAUUUUUCACAUUUCGUCAAAUUAAUCUUUUAAAAUUUUAAUUUGUAAAAUUUGGUCCCAAUCUAAUUUUUCCAACCAUUUUAAUUUAUAUGCAUAUACAAACUAGUUCGGCCAUGGGGUUGUGAAACACAACAACAUAGAUUUUCAAUCAAUUUGCUUUAUUGAGAAGAAGAUUACUAGAGAAUUUGAUGGGAAUUUGUUCUAUGAAAUGUUUAGGUACAUGACAAUGACAUGUUUGGUAGGAGUCCAGACAAAAUGCGUGAAAUUGCGUUGCAACAAGGUGAAUGGGAAAAAAGUGGGUGGGGAGUAUAGCUGUCAAACAAACCCAUUUAACUAAGUUUACCCAUACCUGUCCAUGAAUAGAUGGAUAUGGAUAUCUUAAAUCAUUGCAUAUGGGUAUAAAUGGAUUACCCAAAAAUACCCAUUUAGAAUCAUUGGGUAACUCAUCAAAGCCAAAUAACCCAUUUAGAAUUGACUUCCCCCAAACCUCCUCUCUUCCUCCACCCAUUUUUUUUUUUUCAAAAUUUUCAUUUUGUCAUGAUGUUAACUACUUUUUGUUACAUUAUUAUUAUUAUUUGUUGGUUUUAUUUUCUCUUAGUUUGUUAACUUACUCAUUUUUCAGCAUUUCCAAUUUAUGACAAGUUUUAACCUUUUUUCUUAUUUUUUCAAAAUAAAAAUUUUAAUUUACACACAAAAAAAAUGUUAGAGGUUCAAAAUUUUUUGAUUUAAGUUUUUAUGUUAACUUUUAUAGUACUUAAUUCAAAAUUUUAUAUUCUUAUUUUUUAAUUAUUAAAUAGUAUGUAAUUUUGCAACAUAGAGUACAUAUGGGAAAAAAAUUGAUAAUUAGGUUUAUUGAGCAUUAUAAAUAAAUAUUUAAAACUAAUGAUGAGUGCAAAGGAUGGUAUAAAUUGAUAAUUUAGUUUGCAAAAAUGAAUUUAAAUGAAUUUACAAAAAGUUAUGAUAAAUGGGUUAUAAAUAGGUAAUUGGGUUACCCAAUUCAUUUUUUGACUUACCCAUUUAUACCCAUCUAAUUAAAUGGGUAUAAAUGAAUUGACUCAUUUAUACUCAUUACCUAUUUUACCCAACACAAACCUACUCAAAUCACCCAUUUUAACACCUUUAAGUGGAGAGGGAUGGAUUUGGUGGUAUCAAGGGAGGGAGUGUAAGUGAGAGAUAUUAGAUUCGAGACUUUCCACUUAUAUUUAAAAAAAUAAAUAAAAGAGCAGCUAAAAGAAAAGGUGAAUGAGAAAAAUAGGCGCUCUUGUGGUGUGGAGGUUUAUCCUUGGUAAGCAAGAAACAUUUUAUCUGUUUCAUGUUUAGAUUAUUAAAGUUCUAUUUACACUUGGAUGUUUUACUGUUUUAAAGGUAAAGUGAAGACCAGGCAUGAUGUGAAAGUUGAAAAUCUCAGAUGUAGUUCUUGGAUCCAUUUUUCCUUUUAUAAAAGAGACUUUUCGAGAAGCAAUGGAUGUUUACGUUAGGAUAAUAAUGCAAAUUGAUUAUGCAAUGUAUACAAAUCAAAAUUUUCUAACGAAAUUCUAGAGGUAGAGUUGUCAUCAUACUAUAUGUAUUUGGUUGUAUAUCUGUGUGCACUGUGAAGAAUUAAUUACCUGUGAUCUUGUCCUCUUUUUUUCCUUUUUUUUGGGGGGUCCCAAAAAUUAGAUUUUAUCCUGUCACCAUGUCUGAAUUCAUAAAUCACAAGGAGUUUAUCUGGAGAUAAUUUUGUUUAAUGGCCAACGAAAAAUUAAACUUCAUCAACUUUAUUUGAAAGUUCUGAUGAUUGAUUCAAUUGUUCUUUUUGUAUUUAGAUGGAAAAGAGAAGAUCUCCAAAGAGACCAUCGAGGCCUUAGAUAUGAGAAAAACAUGACUAUCACGUACAAUGUUUACUUGCAAGUUAGAUUCUCUUCAUGGAAAUGAUGCUUAAGAGAGAACUGAUUAACUAUCUUGAUUCUAGAAACACCAAACUGGCAAUACAAAAUCAACUGAAUUCCAUCUAAAUAACUUGUAUCCCUUAACGAUGAGAUCUCGACAUAAAACUAAGUUUCACUUUUUGCAUCCUUUAAUCAAGUGGAAGGGGCUUGUAUCCUUUAAUUAUGAGCAUAGUUAUUAAACCCAACCCGGGAGGGAACCCGGCGAACGAGGUGGGUCAACGGGUUACUGGUUCAACCAGUGGGUGAGUGGUUGAACCGGUGGGUCACUAAAUAUAUUUAAAUAUUAUAUUUCAUAAUUUUAAAUAUAAGAUAUAAGAUAUAAAUUGUAAUAAAUAAUGUCAUAGCAAAUACUCAUAUAAUUUAAUUUGCUAUAAAAUAAUUAAUUCAUAUAAGAAUCAAUAAAAUAUAAAAUUAUUUAGUAAUACACCAAAUUUUAAGUAUAAAAUUUUAUCUAUAUUCAGUGUAAUUAUCUAACUUAUUUAUAAGUUUUAAGUGCAAAAAAAUAUUAAAAAUAAUAUUUGUCUUUAAAAUGAAUUAUGUAAUAUGUUAUUUUUGAAGUCUAUUUUAUAACUUAUAGAGUUUGGGGGUCAUAAAUUUUUAUUAAAAGAUUCCAAAUAAAUUUGUUUUAGAGAAAUAAUAAAAAAGAUAAAAUUGAAAAAGGUUUAUAUAUUAUAAGUAAGAAACCUUAACACCAUAUUGUGAAGUAGCUUGGUGGUGUCUGCGUUGUUGCAAUGUUCAUACGUCCAAUGUUCGAAUCCCAUCAAAGGCAUAAAUUUUUUCUCAGGAACCCGGUUUGUAGACAAAAACCGGCCGGGUUUCCGAUUUAAUCCGGUCGAACCGCCGGUCCGUUGACUAGUCAACGGGUUGAUUGCUUAAACGAUCUAACUCAAAAUCCAGCCCGGUCCAAUGUCCGGUUCACCGGUUCGACCGCCGGGCCGGGCUGGGUUUAAUAACUAUGAUUAUGAGGUCUAGAGUUCAAAACCCAUAGGAAUAUAAAAUGACAACGUUGAGAGUGUUUCCCCUUGCAAGGCACUCGACGUGACUUGAACAGAAUUAGUUGCAAACCGUAAAAGGAAUGCGGAUACCUAUAUACAAAAUAAAAAAAAAUCAAUAGAAUUCCAGCAAUAACCAACAAUUGCAGGCUAUUGGUCAAGAACCUUGUCGUCCUAUAUUCAUGCCAGACAUCAUAGAUGUAAGUGUCUUUGCUUAGUUUCCAUUUUUCCUCCAUGCUGUUCCAGAAAUACACUGCACUUAGUGCACUAUAUUCCUGCUGAGGAUUCCUAUAAACAUUUGAAGCAUUGACAAUUUUUUUUCCCUGUGAAAAGCUUUUUGGAGUAAUGGAGGAGAAAAGUGAAAGAGGAACAGUAGAAAAUUAAAUGCAAAUGAAGAUGCCAAUGAAGAUAGGAUAAGCAUUUGCAACCCUGAAGGAUUAGUACUCAACCUGAUUGAUGUAGGGAAUGUGGCAAAUAAUAAAAAAAAUGCACUUGCAACAAGAAAUUACAACAAAUUAGAGGUUUUACAAUUGUGACCUAACCCAUCUAUAUAUUUGAUGGCGACAAUCCUUAGUGUUGCAAUUUUAAGGGUUUAUAAUAAUAAAUCCCCUUAAUUUCAUCUUUGUAUUCAUUUCCUCCCUCUAUGUCAUUUUCUCAUGACUUGAGUUUCUUCUACUGCCCACAAAUAUAAGAAUUUCAAUAAAAAAAAAAAUGCCUUAGUGGUUCAAAACAUAUUGAUUGCAAUCAAGAAAUUUCUCCAGAAACCUUAGUAAAAUAAAAUAGAGGGAUCCCCAAAUACAAUGAAUUGUAGAAAGCUACUUUUUUUUUAUACUAAAUUUUUAGUAAACCUAAGUAAUUUAAUUAACCCCAAAAGCAAUGAUAACAAAAUGUAUGCUUUAAUAAAAUUUGUUAAAAGAGCAUUUCUAUAUUUUUUGUCAAUUAAACUAGUCAAUUUUACCAUACUCAAUUCAAUUUUGCUUUCAACUAUACAGCCAGAUGCCAAUCUCUUGUACCAAAACUACAAUUGAUUAAGGUGAUUGCUUUAAUAUGUAUGUUAUUGUGGAAAAAUUCAAUGCAAUAGGCACGAACACUUCUAAUCUUGAAGGAAUAGUUCUACUUUUUGAUUGUACGCUAGUUUUAAUAAGAAACACCUCAAACAGUUCAAAAAGACAAGGCCAAAUGCUCUCUCUAAAGUUUGCAGAAUAGUUUACUAAGUUCAAUCUUAAACUUGUUUCAAUCAUCAUUUUUUUCCGCGGAACAAGGAACUAAAAUGUUUCGAGUGACCAGGAAAGUGAAGACUUGCAGGAUUGAUCUCCUAAAAUGGAAAAACACUAUCCAGGCAAACUCCAAAGUAAGAAUCAAUGACAUUAAGAGUAGGUUAGAGAGCUUGAAUAUGUCAAAUAUGGAGAACAAAAGGAUGAUCAUAUUUGACCUUAAGGAAUAGCUCAAAGAGGCAUAUAAAGAGGAGGAAUCUUUUUAGAGCAAAAAAGCUAGAGUGAACUGGCUAAGAGAGGAAGACAAGAAUACUAGUUUUUUUCAUGCUCAUUUGAGAGGGAGAAGAAACAAGAACAGAAUUUGUAAUGCUCAAAGAGAGGAUGGUACUUGAACAAAAAAUGAUGAAGAUCUAAUUUCUGAGAUUUCCAUGUUCUAUAUGAGCCUUUUUACUAGUGGAGGAAAAGAAGAUAACUCCGAGGUACUAAGGGAUAUUCCACACUCUAUUACUGAGGAAAUGAACUCCAAAUUGACAAAACUAGUGCAUGAGGAGGAAAUCAGGACUGCUGUUUUUUUUUUCAUGAAUCUAGAUAAAGCCCUUGGAAUGGAUGGAAUGACUCCACUGUUCUUCCAAAAAUUCUGGAAAGUGAUUAAAAAUGAUGUGGUUCAAGCUGUCCAAGAUUUCUUUGUGACUGGCUGCAUGCUUAAAUCUAUUAACCAUACAAUUAUCUCCCUCAUUUCAAAAUUUUGAAUCCAAUUAGCUUGAAAAACUAUAGAUCAAUCAUUAUGUGUACUGUCUUGUAUAAAAUCAUAUCAAAAAUUUUGGCAAACAGACUGAAACCUAUUCUUGACAAGUGCAUUUGUAAAAAUCAAUCUGCCUUCAUACCAGAUAGACAAAUCUUAGAUAAUGUAAUCAUUGCUCAGGAAUAUAUGCAAUAUCUGAAAAAUAAAAGGCAAGGAAAAGAAGGGUAUAUGGCUAUCAAACUAGACAUGACUAAAGCUUACGAUAGAGUUGAAUGACAUUUUAUUAGAGACAUGAUGACAAGAAUGGGGUUCUGUGAUAAAUGGGUAAGCUGGAUAUCAAGAUGCCUGAAGACUGUCUCUUACUUUUUCAACUGUAAUGGGGAAGUCUUAAGGCUUUGUAAAGCCAGGAAGAGAAAUAAGGCAGGAAGAUCCCCUCUCACCUUACCUGUUUUUGAUCUGCUCAGAAGGUUUCUUAAAUCUACUCCAAAGAUCAGUAGAAAGCAAAAAUCUGAAAGGCCUGAAGAUUAGUAGACAAGGUCCAAGCAUAACUCACCUCUCUUUUGUGGAUGAUUCUCUUAUAUUCUGUAUAGCUGAUGUACAACAAGCUAAGGAACUCAUGAAGAUUCUCCAAGAUUAUGAACAGGCCUCAGGACAGCUAAUCAAUCUAGAGAAAUCAUCAGUAUUUUUUAGCAAAAAUUUGACAUGCAGACAGAAACAAGAGAUUUGCAAUGCUUUAGGAGGAAUGACAGAAGUGAAACAAGAGAAAUAUCUUCCUAUGGUUAUUUCAAGAACAACAGAGCAGAUUUUUGGCUAUAUAAGAGAUAAUAUAAAGAGGAGGUUGGAAAGUUGGAAGAAUAAAUUGCUAAGUCCUGCUGGAAAGGAAGUCAUGCUCAAAGCAGUCACAAUGGCUAUGUCAACCUAUGUUAUGUCUUGUUUCAAGCUGCCUAGGAAACUCCUCAAGGAUAUCAACUCAAUUAUGACCAACUAUUGGUGGGGGGAAACUAAUGGCAAAAAUAAAAUGCACUGGAUAUCUUGGAGGAGAAUGGCUUAGGAUCGAUAGGAAGGUGGCUUGGGAUUUAAGGAACUAGAAGCUUUCAACAAAGCUCUACUAGGAAAACAGGUUUGGAGAUUAAUCACCAAACCAAACCUCAUAGUCAGCAAAAUUUUAAAAGCCAAGUAUUUUCCAAAGGAAUCAAUUUUUACUUGUAAAGUUCAGGAUAAUGCGUCUUGGUUUUGAAAAGGACUGAUAAAAGUCAGAGAGAUUGUGGAAGAAGGAAUAAGGAGGAGAAUUGGCAAUGGGAGAGACACAAACAUAUAGGAGCAUAAAUGGAUACCAACUUCUCCAUUAGGUCUGCCUACAACUCCAAGACCCCCAAACUGUAAGCUUGUUUUUGUACAUCAGCUAAUCAAUCAAAGUAGAUGGAACACAAAUGUAAUAUUCAGAUUGUUCAACAAGACUGAUGCAGAGAGGAUUCUCAGUAUUCCAAUUAGUCUUGCAGGUAGAGCAGAUUCCAAUUACUGGAAACACAGUGAGGGAGGCGAGUAUACAGUGAGAUUUGGUUACAAAAGAUUCUUAGAUGAGAGAUCAGGCAGCAAUAAAGGACAGGAAUCUGUUGGAACUAGUUUUGAUGCAGGCAGUAAUCAAAGCAAGCAAACUUGGAAUACACUGUGGAAGCUCAACAUCAAACACAAAAUUAAGGUGUUUAUCUAGAAGUGUAUUAAUGGAGUGCUACCAAUCAGAGAGGCAAUCCACAGGAAAGCUGCAAUUGGGGAUCCAGUAUGCAAGGGAUGCGGAGAGGAGCCAGCAACGAUAGAACACACACUUUUGCAAUGUCCUUUAGCAAACAAUGUCUGGAAAUUAGCUCCAGUUAUGUGGGAUGGAGCAAAAAACCAGAGAUGCAAUUUCACAAGGUGGUGGAGCAGGAUCACAGAAGCUAAAACAAGGUAAGAGGGUAACAACCAUAUUGGUCUUACUGCAAACAUCUUAUGACACAUUUGGAAAGAAAGGAACAAGAUGGAAUUUGAGAACCAAGAUAGACACCAACCAUCCUGUGUUAUUCAAAAAACACAUAAAGAAUGGUUGGAGAUGAAGGAAGUAAAUAGGAAGGAACCUGAUCAGAGUACAACAGAAACAAUGUCAGACCUGGAGGGGGAACAUGAGGUACAAGAGGACCAGGAUUUGAUAAGGCUGAGAGUGACAACAACGAACUUAUUGAGACCUGCUUUGUUGGGUAUUGGAGUUGCUAUCAACACAAUAUCACAUGAUGCAACAAAAUUCUGGGCAUUAAAGGACAGAAGCUACAGAAACAAGAAUACGGAUGUAGCUUCAGCAGUCAGACUAGUCUUGUGCAAAGCGCUGGAAAAAGGAUGGUGCAAUGUCCGAAUACAGCUCCAAAACAAGAAAGUGCUGAGACAAAUCAAGCAUGGUAAAUCAUCGGAUGGCAAAUUGGCAACGAUCCUAGAGGAUAUUUUUUACUUAAUGUCGUUGUUUCGAAUGUGCUCUUUUUGCUUAGAUAGUAAUGAUAAUAGUAACACUAUUGCUAAUGUUAGCUCAUAUGCCUUAGGUAUUUUGAUGGAUGGGAAAGGAUCUUUUCCUCUGUGUUGCUGAACACAAGUUGUACAGCUUGAUGAGCUGUUGCUCGAAUUGUAAAGUCAUCUUUUAGAUCAAUACAAGUAAUCUAACGUUUCGAGAAAAAAAAAAUCAUCAUUUUUCUCCGCAAAAUAUCUCUGCAAUAAUAAAGUCUCUAUAGGUGUUAACUUUGUUUGUUUUCAAAUUUUCCUCCAUCUCUGACACACAAAUCCUAUCCAAUCAAAAUUAUCUUCUUUCAAUUCUCAAGUUUUCCUUUAUUAACGAUUUUUUUACUUCCAAUUAUACAUAUUAAUACAUUUUUAUUACAUAUUACACAAAAUAAUUAUAUUCACUUGUACUAUUUUUAUGAUUCUUUCAAUUAAAAAUAUUUUUUGACAAGUUGCACACGUAUUGAGUGUGCCUUGAUAACUAGUGUAUAUUAAGUUGGUAACGCAAAUAACAGUUAAUAAGAUUUGAAAGAUUUAGAUCCCAUUUGAAUUGCAAUUUUUUAAAGUUUUUAUUAAAAAAAUUUACUAUAACGAUGUGUGAUGUAUAUAAAUUUAAAAAAAAGAAAAGAUAAUUGAGAAAUUUAUUAACACUAUAUUCCAAAAUUUUUCUACAAAGAAAAAUCACAAUCCAAUUGGGCUCUUAUAGUUGUCCGUUUUUUUUUUAGUUAAAAAGUUGUAAUAUUGUCUAUUAAAUCAAUUAUUUAAAUGAAACAUCACAGGAAAUAUAAUUAUAUUAUUACAAUAUAAACAUUAGUAACCAUACAACUUGUGGAAUUAUAUGGCUGUAUUUAACUUUGGAAAUAGAGAAACCUUCAGCAUUCGGAAGAAUGCUAUGUCUAUAUAGUAAUAAAUAAUUUAUCAGGAAAUUUGGAUUCGUAUGUAUCUAUUAGUAUUAUCAUAUACCGCAACUUUCUUUAUAAAUCCUUACCCAAAACGGCUACUAUGUUUGCCGCCACUGGAUUGUCUGCUGAAACAAUUAUUCCCUCAGCUGGGACAAUUCCUCCGGUCCUUUUCCCUAACUCCAAAACGGGAAAAAAAGAAGGAAAUUUCCAUUCUGGGCUUGGAAAAUUGCUAGUCUUUGAAGCUGUUCAUCAUCUGGUUUGUGGAGUUCCAAGAAAAUGACAAUCUAAAUUAAGGUUAUUCUUCUGUUUCCCUUUAAUCUAUUCUUCUCUUGUGAUCUAUAGUUUUUUUUAAAAAAAUUUUUUGAUGGGCUAAUUUGAUAACUAGUGGGAGAAAGUUACAUUUUGUAGUUGUGUUUGAGCUUAUUCGAUGUAGUCAUGGGUUUUCCUGAUGAAUUUUUUGGCAAUCGAGAAGAGGGCUUUUCUCUGUUGUGGCCGAUUCAUAUUCCAGUUGUUUCUUUUUUCCUACUAAUUGCAUCUGAUACCUGGCAAAAUUCGCAUACUGAAUGUAGGAGUGGUUCGAGAUGGAAAAAAAAAGGUGGUCUUUUAAGGCCUUCGUGAGAUUGGUUUUAACAACUGCUUGCAGAGACCUGCAACAAUUGAAAAAAAAAGUGUUUGAGCAUAGACAAGAAUAUCUGUGUAUGUCCUGGUUUUGAUUGGUCUAUCAAAGGAUUUUGAUAGGAUCAGUGAAAGUCAAAGUGCAAUUAAUUGAGAGCAAGAACUAGAAUCAGAUGGUAGUAAUCAAUUAAUUAAAGAACUGGAAGCAGGAACCAGUUCUGGAUAUUGAUUAUGUGAAGAAUAGAAUGAUCAGAGUGAUCAAUGGUUUUGCUUCUGCAAAUUACACUAUCAGAAAAGAACUGGCUACAAUCAACAUGGCUAAUCCUACCUCAUUAUACGUAGUUACAUAAUACAGCUGUCAGUUAGUUAUGAUGCUACGCUGACUAACUACUUGUGACUGCUGAGCCUGACUAGCUAUCAUCUUGACAACUACCAAGCUGUCCAAUCACGUAUCAGAUCAAUCUUAAGCUGAUGAUGAGCUAUACUCCUGAUGAUCAUGGCUUCAUCCACUAGUCUCUGAUUCUCUUACUUCUCUUGAUCAAGUGCACAUCUAUCAAGGAUUUCUUGUCUUGCUACAUGGUGCUCUUUGGAUCUCUAAUAUCGCUAAUUGUCUUUCGCCUUAACAUUCCAUUAACCUCCCAAACUUAUCCUACUUAGUUUGAAUGUGGUAUCUAGACAUUUUGUUUUCUAUUAAAAGUUAACACAGGAUGCUUACCAUUUUUUUGGAGCAUGCUAUUUUGCUUUCUAACUUUUAAUUCUGACGAUGAAUACCUCAAGAGUUCUACCUACGUCUAAUGAAAGAAUCAUUGUCUGACAUUUGUCUACUCAUGCACCUUUUUGUAAUUGAUUGUGUUUUCUAGAUAUAAUGUUUUCUUGAGAAUUGAGGGGUUUCUGGUGGACUUUCUCAUCUUUCAAACUAAGUUGUUUGCUUAAUGAGCUCGUUAAUAGUGUUUUGCUCCUGUAGUAUUUUCUUUUUUGGUGCUUAUGUUUGUUGAUAUUAUGACGCUUUUAGACUUGCUGAAUAUCUGGAGUAGCUCUUUAGCAGAUGCUCUGAGCUUUCGGUGAACAUAUACCACAAUGACUAUUGUGAGUGAUUGAAGUUUAUAUAUUAGCUAAUAUGUUCCUGUUCAAUUUUAGGGUCCAUCAAUAGCAGAACAUCAGGCUGGUUGCUUCCACAAAAGAAGCAUGUGUUAGGUGCUAGGUUUCUUCAUGCAAUAAGUUCUAAAUAUACAUUGUGUAGAAUAAUUGUGCUGAAAAAGUUGUCAUCUCUGUUUGAAGUUGCAUGUGUUUAAGCUAAUGGUUGGAAUACAUGGUUGAAAGGUUAAAAAAAAAAAGAUGGACCAUUUAUAGAGGCUUAGGUGUUUUCAGUUAACAGUUAUUUGGUGGUUUUUGGUUGUCUAGGCACUUUAGGGUUGCAAUUUCUAGUUCAAGAACAUAGACAUCAAUGGUAGAGUUAAAAUUGAGUUAAGACAGUUUAAGAUUGAAACCAUUGCUGGAGCAAAAAUUUUCUUAUUCAAUUGCUACUGAGAAGGAAAAGAAUGGGGAAGCCUAAAUAGACACACGUGAUUUCCUGUUACAUUCAGUUACUUAUUUUCCAGGUUUUCAGCAUGGUCAAGUAAGCUUACUUUGUUGUAUAUACUCUGCAUUCAUUUUGCAUAUCUCCGCCAUCUUUCCUGGAGUUGACUCUGGAAAGUUAAAGACCAUGAAACUGCUUAUGCUAGAUUUUGUCCCUGUUCAAUCUGAAACUGGUUGUAUUAGUUUUGCAAGAUAUGAUCUAGAGGUUAAAAUGGCUGCAGGUGGUGUUGUGCAUGAAAUCCUCAUAAUGCCCAUUUUCAGUGUGGAUAAGCUCUCUACAUGUAUGUUCUUUCAUCUCUCCCUCUUUCUUUAUAGAUGUGUGGAAGCCUCUGGAAAUAUUAGAUCCUCUUACUGUGUCAUAAGUGGUUCAAAUGUAGAGUAACUUCUCUCAGCAUUACAGCUAAAGUAAUAGCUACCAUAUAUCAAAUUUUUGCUCAUUAAGUUUUUGCUUCCGUUAAAGGGAAUGUUAAAAUUGAUAUAGUGAAGCAAACUAGAGAGUUGCUGGAGAGCAGUCUCAGACUCUUACAGGGUUGUGUUUAGUUUCAGGAUCCUUUCAUAGUUUGUAUUAUUAUUAUUUGUUUACUAGCCCGUGAGCAUACCAAGUAAGGAUUUUCUCAACCAUAGGUAACUAACCAGUCAAGCACUCAAAAUGUCAUAUGUCAACCCAAACAUAAUACUUGAGCUCAAACUAAUAUUCUCUGCAUCCAAAUUGACAACAAAAGCAAGAUGGUUCAACCAUCAAACUCAGAUAUGAGAUCAAACUUGGGGCUUAUAUGAGCAUAAACAAAAGAGACUAGAGGUAACUUCUCACUUAUUGGUCCUCACUCGACUUGCUUAUCCAAUGAAGGAAGCUUUGCACAUUUAUAGAAUUUAAAGUAUUGCAACACUCAUAAUAGUGGCUGGCCAAUGUUGUAGCUUGUAGUACGUUAAGACUACCGUUCUGAGUAGAUGUAUCUACGUAGUUUUAUAUGACACAUUUGUGAAGAAUUUCCCAGAGACUGAGAGGGAGUGGAGUUAAAGAUGUCUGAUAGUCUGUCUCAAUGAAAUUCUGGCAUCCAAUCUAACUGGUUAAAUUUGUUUUUAUAUCCAGCUCUUGGUAAAUAUGUCAGAAACUUUAUAAUCUGUGUUUAUUGCUUUCAUCUCAAAGUCACAUUCACUUUCUAUGAGAGAGACUUGACGUGCUGUCUUCUUGGCUCUCAUCUGUAAGUCAUAAAACAGCACUCUAUAGGACAGAGCGAUUGCAGCAAUGGAUUUACAAAAAGCUUUAUAUCUAAAUUCCUUGGGCCAACCACUAGGAUCAGAGAGUAGUUCUUGAUUCCAUUUCCCUGAUUCCUCUCUUGUUCAUCCUCCAUGUACUUCUUUACAAUGAACUUGCUGUAUAGCCAAUUUUUCAAGUCUUUAGGGUAAUAAACUUUGUUGUCUACAUUAGAAUUUUCCUCAGGACAGGUGAGGUUGUUAAGUGGAAAGGAAGUCAAUUGAGGGUAGAGUUGGGAAGCUACUAGCUCUAAUCUCAUGUCCAUAUGUCUAUAGGAGUCACUUAUGCCUAAGUUUGGUUUUAUGUGCUGAGCAUGACGGCAUGAAAUCUUCGAACUGUUUUUUUGGUCGGUCGAGAAUCAUUUCUUCUGUUAUGUUCUAGAACUAUUUGGAAAAAUUAAGAAUUGGUGUUUUGAAGUGGAAAUGAAAAUUUGGAUAGGUAACAAAAAUGUGGAUUCAAACUAGGACAGGAUUAUAUUAUUUUCCACAAUGUAGUUAAACUUGUGAUGGGGAUUUACAGGAAAAGAUGAACCUAUUUUAUUUGUUCUUGAAUAUUGAAUACUGCAGCUCACAUAGCAGGCCACAAAAAUUUGGCCGUUCUUUGGUAUCUCUCUAGCUUACUUCACUAAUACUUGCUCACUUACAUGUCAGUCUCGAAAUGAUGUAACGAAUGGUUUUGCUAAAAAAGACACUUGAUUACUAUAGGCUGUUAACUUUUUCAGAAACAAUUUAUACAUGCCUGCCCAAAAUUGUGUUUCUGAAUAGUUUACUACUUCUGACUGUCAUGAUGAUGGUCAUUGAGCUAGAUGUUUUUAGAGGGUUUCUAACAUGCUAAGCUAUGAGAAUGAUAUGGUAUUGAGUUCACCCAUUUCACAUAUUAGAGGAGGUUGCUCUCAAAUGUUUCUUGAAAAAUAAAAUGACCCAUUCCUGAUUUCUAUUGAUUACCUAGGACAUAUUCUUGGAUUUGGGCCCAAGUUCCACCAUGCAUUUUCAUGCUUUUAACUUGCAAUUUGCAAAUCUUGUAAAGCCGAGGUUAGGUAAUGAAUUUAUUGCAAUAACUAUUGAAAGUAGAAGAGAAAACAUGUGGUAAAGAGACUUCAAGUUACAAUGUUCAGAGAGUAAUGGGAUGCAGAAAGCAUGUUUGAGUACUGGUUUAGCCUCUUGCAUUAUGAUAUCUGCUAUGCUUCCAGCUUUGAAAGGUAUUCCCAUUUUCAAGUCAAUGGUACUUAUCCUUCUUCAGAGAUUUUACAAGCCAACUUUUUUUUUUUCAGUUCAUGAAGAACCAAUAUACUCAUUUUACCUUGUCAAGAUUGGGGGAAAACUUACAUCCAUCUGUAAUGCAUUUUGAAUAGUUUGGUGAUCAAAUAUUAUGCGUAAUUUGUUCUAUAAGUAACACUGCAAUUAAUUUGCAUAUGACCAACUUGAUAGAUUAAGUUGUUGAAAGCAUCAGUUUUUUCGUAAGUAUAAUUAGUUUGUGCUUUUCUUUUUCUCUUUCUUUUUUAUUUAAAAUUCUCUAAUUCUUCUUUUUAACUAAAAUGAUAAUUUCAUAAUUAAACAUCACCAAAAUGAAGUUAUUACUCAAAAUCAGACAGUAUUCAAGGAAGUUAUUUUGGACAUCAAAAGAAAUCAAUCAUAGCAGAGGAUAACAAAAUAAAUUCACAUUACAGGAGUAAACAAAAUGAAGCCUCGUUUUAUAAGUGAACAUGUCUUUUUUUUUUUUUUUAAUUGUUUUUUGGUAAGUGGGAGGUCUUGAACCAGGAGCUCCUACUUACAAUUGCUCCCAUUUUAUCAACCAACCCAACUGUCCCCCUCUAUAAGUGAACAUGUCUAGAGACAGAGAACUUGGAAAUGGCUAGGUCUCUAGAAUGUAAUCUUCCCAAAUAGACGAGGCUGCCUUGUCUAUUGAGAUUUAUUUUUAUGAAUUAAUUAGAGUGAGCUUUACAGUUAGAUCUCUAUAAACAAUCUUUUAGAUAGCUGCUUAGAAUUGUCAUGAUGAGCCUGAGUUUGUGUAUAUCUAAUACAUAUCAGAGAAGGUAGUUUAAAUUUGAUACCCUCAAUGCAACCUUUUACGUUUUGGUGUUGACCCAAUGUUGUUGGAUUCUAAAUAGCUGUGGAUGCUGAAGACUGGUUUUAGCAUGCCUGGAUGCAAAGGUAUAAAAUCGAAGGAUUGCUUUAGCUGUCAUUGUUUUGGUGUAGAAGGCAGGGUGGGAACACAGAAGUUCAAAGGCUUGAGAAUGUGCUGAACCUAGCUGCCUCGGAAAUGAGCGCUUGGCAAAACCACCAUCACAGUGAAGCAUUGGUGUUUUGUUGCAGAUGUCUUCUCUUAGAAUAUGGAGACAAGUAUUACAUGUAUAAAAUCUAGCAUGAACUUUUCACCAUCUGACUGUACAGUAUCCCUCUUCCACAUGUAGCAUUCACUCUCUGUAAAUAAUACUGUUACCUAUUAAGAAAAACUCGGAAUCUGAUAAUUGAGCACUCGAGUGAUAGGUCACUUGUGGAAAUUGAAGUUUAAUCAAGAUGUGCAUGUAGAUCAAAUCUUGAAAAAUGUACUUUUCUUUCCCAUUAAGAGUUGUCUCUUAGGUUUCCUCUUUUCUUUUGCAUAAUAAGGCUUUUUUUUUUUGUGUGGCUAAAAAUAAAAUCCAGGUUUAUCAUUGUAAGUAGUACAAUUUGUACAAUCUCCUCUGGCUCCUGUUUUUAUCUUCACCCUAAAAACUUAUGCAGCACUUUCUGCUGGGGGACAAGUUCCAUUGAAUUCCUCCUGAUUUGCUCUCUUUACUAUUGCUGUAACUCUAAGCUGGUCUUCAUUUUGGGAAAACUGGUUUCUCUUGUGUGGAGAACUCACAUGACGAACAGCUAUAGACAUGUUCAAGGUGACUCUAGAUUUGCGAAACACUUACCUCGGAUUGCUGUCACUUCAUGUUUCUUUCCGUGGGCUUGGUUCUUGUAUGAAUUGAAAGUAUAGGCUAUAGCUCUGUCCUGUCAUAACUUAUAUGGGCUACACCUAAAUUCAGGUUCUUAGUGAAAUACUUCAAGUAAUUUUCAGGUUCUUGGGCUCUUGGUCACCAAGACGUCUUUAAAUCUUGGUAGAGGUGGGAGGUCAAGGGUUUGAUCCUUGCCUCCUAUCAGCCACUAUUUGUGGCUUCUCCCUCCCUCUUCCUGUAGAUUAGGUUAGAAUGGAUUAUACAAACAGUUAUCGUUGUUGGCAAAAAAAAAAAAAAAGUAAUUUUUAGGUUCUUAAUGCAAUCAUUUUUUCUAAAAAAUUAAAUGAUACCCGUUGGUUCGAUCCUAUCUCGGCGAGUACCCUAUAAUCGGGUUUCCGUUGAUAUGCAGGGCAGAUAAGAAUCAAAAAAUGGUUGAUCCGUAAAAUAUGAGUCAGAUCAGUCAAAUGAUGGACGGGCCGAGUACGGCCCGCUCCCAUUCCUGCUACCUAAGUAGCUGCCAUAAAAGACAGUACUUGGAUUGCAUAGUUUUGAAAUAAAAUAAUUUACUUUACAAAUUUCGAUUACCUUUUUAUCUUUUCAAUCACAUUUUUAUUUCAUAUAUAUCACAUCACAAAAAGUGUUACAGUAAUUAUCUCAAAUAAAUCAUCCAAAUAAACUCCUAUCCAAACAAACUGUAUAAUCCUGUGGAUUCUAAUAAGUAGUAGCCCUCUCCAGAAAGGACCAAAAGAGUAACCACAGAGGGCCCUCUUACUGAAGAGGGAUACAUGAGCAUAUUUGGGCUUUAACUGAACCAAAAGCGUUUUCGCAUACUGCGUAGUUUUCUAGGCAUUCACUACAUACUAGAUAAUGCUGCGGUGUUACCCAUACCCCAGUUUUGUACUUUCAUCAUGAAUGGUCUUUUACAAGUGGAGCAACUUCAAAUUCUUCUUCCCUUCCCUGCUCGGCUUGCCCUGUGGGGGUUCUUUCCCACAUCGAUAAUAGGGGGUUUGGGAAUGGGUAGGUAAGUCUCUUGGACGCCUUCAAAAGUUACCGGCUUUUGAAGGUUGCUCAGAAAUCUAGGUUUAUCUUGCCGAAUUUUUGAGUUUCUUCAAGAAAAUGUCAGAAAAAAAGGUCACAACUAUUUGCAAUGGAACAAACUGAAGGUUCAGGAGAGAAAAAAAUGUGAACCACUGAAGUUCUAAUGAUCCUUAAAAAGAUCAUAAAGUUCUUCUUGAAUGUGUGUCGUCUAAUUGGCUUACACAAUAAGGUUUAUGAACAGAAAGGAUAGCUGGUUCUUGGAUUUUUCAACAAUCACUAAUUUUCCAAGAACAUGGCAAAAAAAAAAAAAAAGAAUAGUAUGACCACAGAGUUUUUGUUUAUUUAUUUAUUUUUUUAUUUGACUGAGUCAGAUUUUAUUAGUAACUAAAAUGAAAUACUACCAAGUAUAAGUGGCAUACCCCCGGCACCGACAAGAAACGAGAAGGCAAAAUUGCAUCACUGAUAGACUUAUCAACGAAAGACCCCAUACAAGUCUAGGACAAACUUAUCAACAAACCUAGGAAAGUCAAAAUGGAUUAAUUAAUGGAUCAUUUGAUGAGGGUUCAUAUUAAAUGUUUGGCGGAUAAUAUUAACCCAACCCACUUUAGAUUCAUUAAGCUCUCACUUAAUUUUCCCAAAAUCAUUCUCUUACUACUACUAGGUGAAUAGAUAAUUGAGAUCUUUACUUGUAAAACUCGUUUUUUUUUUUUAAAUUUUUUGAAUUCUUUUUUUUUUUAGCACCAAAAAAAGAAAGAGUUAAAAAAAAAAACAAAAAUAAAACGGGUUUUACAGGAUGUGAAUGGCUAGACCUUCCACCAGCAUUAAAAUCACCUCCGGAAAAAGAAUGCUCAUAUCGUUUGAUAACCACGAGGAGUCAUAGCUGAGUUGGAAACUUCCUUUUCAGUACAAAUGAAUGUAUAUGGAUCCACAUUGAUUGUAAAACCACCAUUUUAAUGGGUUAAGUUGGAUAAACCAUUUAGAUCCAAGAUACAUUUUUUUUUUCUCAUCCAAAUCCAUUAAAAGUGGAUGGAUCAGGAUGGAUAUAUGGUUUUGGAUUAAAAUUGCCCCCAAGGAGUUAUUUUUCUUGGAAGAUUAACAUGCCAGUGAUAUCAGGUACGUGGCUCAUAAUUGGAAGCUUAUAUCUGCCCGCUAGUUCUGGAUGAUGAUGGAGCAAAUUGGCAGGAUGAGCGCUUAGGUCCAUUGAUAACUUCUAUGUGCAAGUAGCAGCAAGCUAGUCAGAUACAACAUGGUAUUACGAACUUCCUGUCCUUUCUUGUCCAAACGAUAGCUGCCUUACUUAUUAUGAUGCUGCAUAACAACGAAAGAAAAUGAUUUUUGCAACAGUCCAUCAAAUUUUGUUCAUCUGCAGUCUCAUUCUCUUUGGUAGAUGGAUAUUCCUGCAAUCCAUGUGGAAUGCAGAAGCUUUUAAGAGAUCUAGUUUCCAGCUGGGAGUGAUGUUGACUGCCGGAGAAAAAUCUCACGGGCCUAAGAGUGCGGGUGAGUGCCCUGCUAGAAUGCGACUGUAGGGUCAUUUUCCCGUUAGUUUCUAGGUGAUUUUCUAUCGUCAGUGCCCGGUUAAUUUUUUUUUUUUUUUUUCACAUUUUUCAGUUUGUUAUAACUGAGUUCCAACAUGCCAUGCCCGGGACAUGGCCAGUGAAAGAUAUUUCUUUACCUGUCUAUUCUUCUUGCCUUUAUUGAGAAAAAGCAGUGCAUUGAGUGCAUUUGCAAAAGCAAAGUUUAGGAAAGGAUUUUGGAAAAGGGAGAGACAAAAGAUACCUUACCUUAAAGCAAAAGAGGGAUAAAAUUUACUGCUGUUGUAAUUUCUCGUGUAGAAGUAGCUGAUUGUAGGAUAUGUUUGGGAUUUUGCUGUCCUCCUUUUACCUCUUAACAGGCUUUAGGGAGUGAUCUUGUCUAUCUAUAGCUAGGUGCCAUUUUUUUCCCUUUGUUUUCUUGAGUUGAUUUUGUAACAAUCAUCGAAAGCAAGAGUAUAGAACUAGCUAUCGUGAACCUAUAUGCUAAACUAAAGUUUCAUUUGUAAACAGACUAUUGCACAUUCUACAACCAAUUGUUCACUUGUGUUGAAUGCUACAUGAAAAUUUAGAACUCACCCUUUCCUCUUCUUUGCUCCUGUCAUCCAUAUAAAAGAAAAUGACAAAGUAAAAGAGGAUAUUUUGAAAGCCUAAAAGAGGACUGGUUUUUGAGUGAAGCUUUUCCAAAACUAAAAACUGGCUUGGCAAAGCUGAAAUUGAUGUACCAUAUAGAGACUGCCUCAAAUAUGACACUGACAUAUACGGAUGAAGUUAGAAGUUGAUUGGCAUCCUUAAACUGAUUGGUAUGGGCUUUAAAAAGGACGUUGUGGCUCAUGAAGAAGACCAAAUAUAUUGAAUCCCAACUGAAAACCUUUAUUUACUUUUUAGCUUAUAAUAGGCUUUUAUUUCAAGUUUGAAAAGGAAAUAGAAACUAAAGAAUGCUCACUGGAACUGGCCCCUCGUGCAUUAAAAACGUUAUGCUGAUGUUUAUCAUGUUAACAAACUCGUACUAGUUGUCAUGUCGGUUUAAUAGUUUGCAUUACCCUUUAGGUUGUAUGAUUAAGGGAUUUCUACUCUUUAGGGUGUUUAAUGAUUGGAGGAAAACAACGGGAAAAUGAAUUUUGAGAUCGAGUUGGAAAUUAUCAAACGGAUGUCUCAGGAUACAGACAAUCAAAUUGCUGGACAAGACUAGACAGGCACCAACAACUAAUAGUUUUCCUAAUCUUGGUGAUAAACGUUGCUCAUUAAUGUCAAUCAAUAAUUAUCUCCACACGCGGGCAGUAACUGCAUACUUUAUCAUUGAUUCAACAAUCGUUGAAAAAGCUAAAGAUUUUUUUUUUUUCUUGUGUUUCUUUUACAUGUAUUAUCAACUGAAGUAAAGUUGCUAAGGCGCAAUCCCAUUAUACCCAAGUACUUAGGUAUCACGGAUGUUCCAAGCAAUCAUGAAGAACUUGCUAGUCCUUCCUGAUCGAUCCCAAGUAAGUCGAGGCCAUGAAUCUCCAAAAAGCUAAUUUUUUUUUUCUUUUCGGCAAAAUGGGGCUUACUUGAUUGGAUAUACCAGAGUUAAUUCUGCAUAAUAUCAAGCCUUUUCAAUAAAAAAGAAAUGAUUUGUUGUUUUCUCCUCCUUUUCUCACCAUCUGUUUUUGGCAUUCGCAAUUUCUCUAGGAGCAGAGUAGGUCCUUGCCAACAAUAAUCGAAGACAGCGCGGUAUGGGAAUAUGAUUGGCAGAUUUCUACAUCACAGUAGCAGCAGUACUGCAUGCAUCGAUGCAACCGUGCGCUAGAUACAAUCACUUGUAUGCCAUGUCUAACCAGAUUUGGCACAAUAAUUAUUUCUCUAUCAAAGUAUGGAGAUAUGUAUCUCAGUUUGAUCAAGCAAAAUGGGAAACAUGAUAAAUUUUUUCUUUUCAAACGAACCAAAAUGAAUGGGCUUAAAUGGUUCAUGAAGAUUUUCUAAAGUUUGAGUUGGAUAUGCCUGUCCUCAUGGAUUGCCUACACUUUUUACCAUAACUGGGGACUGAAAUAAGGAAAAAAAAAAAUCCACCGUGAGAAUAGAGAUCAAGUAAAAUCACGUUUCCAAACUCUAAAAGCGCUAACAAUGGCAGAAAAUCGAUGCUUUAGCAACAAAUACUUCUCUCUAUCUAAUAUAUGUUUAAGAAUUUUAGUAGCAUCAAGACACGGUAAUAUUAAAAGUUAAGGACAAGUAUAAGGAUAUUGCGUGAGUUUCUGAAACAUAGGAUCGAGGUAAAGAUGUCUAAAAUUUAGGAAGAUAAAAAUAGCCAUAGGUUUGAAAGAAUAGUCAAUAAGGAUAGUCUCCAACUUUAGUCAUAGUGUCUCUAUAACUUCCCAUUUUUCAUUUGUUUUAAGGGUAAAUUUCACUUUGCACCUUUCUAUAGACCUGAAUUUUCACUUUGAAUCCCAAUUUUGAUACUGAAAUGCUUUACUCCCUCGAAUAUAAAAUAUGUUCUACUUAAAUAAAAUCUGUCCCAUUUUAGUUUUUAAAGUAUAAAUUUUUUUUCCACUAAAGUAUACAAUUUGUCACACUUUAGAGACUAAAGUAUAAAAAAAAUUGAUAUUUUAAGAAUUAAGGUGGAAUAGAUUUUAUUUAAGUAAGAUAGACUUUAGAGACUACAGUGUCCAGUUUAAAGUUGAGAGAUCAAAGUAAAAGUCUAAAUAUCAUUGAAAGAUGCAAAGUUGUUAGCACAAAAAAUCGUGCAGCGAAAUUAACAUUAAAAUCUUACAAUAAUAAACAAUAAAAAAGGCACGCGAGGAAGAAAAAUAUUCUGCUUCAAUUCAUUAAUUUCCUCGAACUACAAACCUAGGACUGCAAGUGCUUAAAUAAAGAAAUAUAACCACAAAUUCUAUUCUAAUGAUAAUACUAAAAUAUGACAACUCUGUUUCUCAAACCAAAUAUGACUUAACUCUAUAGCAGUAUAGCUCACACGUAACUCUAAUUUAAUUGUUAUCUCCAACUUCACCGAUAGGAGUAGGACAUGCUUGUACUUUGCAUAUAAUUCGACAGCCAAUUCGCUUGAUCAAAAAAUUCAUCCAUAUUGACCCAUUCACUAUUAGAGUCUCCAUAUUUUCUUGAAUAAUAAUAAUUCACACUAUUUUCAACCAAUAAAUCAUGGCUUCCAUAAUAUUCUUUAUGGCAAUAAUUUUCGCCGUAAAAAUUUUCAAUAGACUCAAUCACCUCAAAAAUAUUGUCAUGCACAUCUUCAUUCAAAUCAAAACUUUCACUAACAAUUUCUUUUUGCUCUUCGUCUACAACCAAAUUAAUGCAUUCACUAACAAAUUCUUCUUCAUCAAUCACCCAAACAAAGUAUGCAAAUCAUAAUUUUCAAUCAUAUAAAAAAUGUCGAAAAUCUCUUUGUCAUCAACAAACACAUCCUCUUCUAAAUUAACUGCCCAUUUCAAACCAAUUUUUGACUUAUGAUUAGAUUCAUAUGGAAAUUCUAUCACCAAAAUAUAAAAGAGAUCUGACUAAAACUAUUGAAAUGAUUCAGAAGAGAUGAUAAGUCUUUUGUAAUACUCUUCAACCAUUGAUUUUCGCAUUAUUUUGAAAAAUAAUUUGGCCUUCCUUCUCUUAAUUUCUUUUGAUGGACUACUAUUUAAAUUGAUCUCAAGAAAUUCACCCAAACAACACCUUUUAAGAUAUUUGUGUACUCCCUCCGUCCCGUUUUGUUAGUCUUGAUUUUUUUUCACACAGAUUAAGAAAGUGUAAUUAAUUUGGUUGGAAACAUAAAUUUAGAUUAGUAAUUUCCUAAAAUACCCUUAUGCUAAUCACGAAGAGUGCCAAUUAAUAUCAGUUACAGCUAAUGGGUUAGUAUUGGAAAAGUUCAAUGUAUUCAAUGUAGUGGGUUAGUAUUUAAUAACAAUGUAUUAAUAACAAGAUAUUUAAUAAGGGUAUUUUAGACAAUUUGAAAGAUUACUACAUUUCUUAAUGGGAAAGUGGACUACAAUUUGGGACAGACGAAAAAGGAAAACAAGACUAUCAAAGUGGGACGGAGGGAGUAUUAUUCUUGACCAUUCAGAUCUUUCUUUAUCACUGCUAAGUGUGCAUAAAAUUUAAAAUUUUUCAUCAUUGGUAAAUUCUCUCUCCAUAACAAUUCAAAACAAUUUACUUACCUUCACAAAUAUUUUUUUUCCUUGCUUGAAUUUCUUAGCCUCUCUAGCUUUAGAUUUGAUCAAAGACCACUGUGAUAACCAACAAUUUGAUAGGAUUUUUUUUUUCUGAUUACUACACAAUACCAACAAUGUCAACAGAGUCCUCUUUUUAGACCUCUGUCCAAUUAGAUUCACUUUUCCCCAAUUCCAAUCAAUGAAUGAGUACACUAAGACUAACUCUUGUGGUUGAAUUUUUUUAAUAUACAAGUACUCUACCACAAUUUUUGUACCCUUGUAUGGCACAAAUUUCUCCAUCAAAAACUUUGCACACCCUUCAGACACCAUAGAUACCCCAAGAUCAAACUCUUAAAAUUAGGAUUCUGAUACCACUUGUUAGUACAAAAAAUCACGCAGCGGAAGUAAUAUUAGAAUCUUACAAAUAAUAAACAAUAAGAAAAGCACAUGAGGUAAUGAAAUAUUUUGGUUCAAUUCAUUAAUUUUUCUCAACUACAAACCUAGGACUCCAAGUGCUUAAAUAGAGAAACAUUACCACAAAUCCUAUUUUAAUUAUAAUACCAAAAUAUAACUCAACUCUGCUUUCUAAACCAACUAUAAUACCAAAUUUAAUAUACUUACCAAAUAACAAAUCAAUUUUUAAAACUAUUAAAAUUCCAAAUAUUCUUGGUUUAAAAUAUGUCAACAAAAGUGAAAUUAAUCCUAUGUUUAAUUACGAUUUUACCUAACAGAUAAUCGAAUUAGUUUUCAACGAACGGCCGAGUCAUGUCAAAUAAGAGGGCAAGAGAAAUGAAUAAUUCCCCGAAGAAAGUCUCCUUUGGAACUAACAUUUGAACUGAGGGUCCAACAAGUGAAUUCUUACACGCCAAAAACAAACCUUUACAGCCUCUUAUAAAUGCUUGCCUUCCCCGUUACUUAAUCAAAAGCCAAAUUGUACGAAAUUCAAUGUACAGGAGAGCUAACUCUAAAUAGUAAAUGUGGAAAUAAGCAGUUGAUGUAGGACCUAUCUAUGUUACUUCAGGCAAGAUGGCCCUUAUUCUCUUUGUCUGUAGACUUCAACCAGCUUUUAGAUCCCGGUAUGGUGGCUUUUGGGAUUUUGCCACAGAUUUAGAGGGGGAAAAAAAAAAAGAAAACAAAAUGAAGAAAUAUACGGGAAUAAAGAAGUAUUAUUUGGAUUAUAACUUUUUUAGGAAAAAUUUUUGGGAAAAUGACCAGUUUCAUCUCUUAUAUUUCACAAAAUUAUUCUUUUCAUCCCUCACUUUUAAAACGAAACAAUUUCAUCCUUGACAUUUAAAAAUAGAAGUUAUUACGUCCCUGAACCUAAUUUUCAAUAUGAAUCAAGCCAUCAUCAACCUAAUUACAAAUUUUGGGGGUAUAAUUGGUAGAUCACUUGACUAACUCAACUUGAUAGUUACGUGAAAUUUAAUGAAUCCAAAAAUAAAAAAUAAAAAAUUAUAACAUAAAAAAGAAGAAUGAAUCUUUCCUACAUUGUCAUUGUAUAUACUGACGGGUUUAUGUACCUGCCACAUCAUUUCAAUUUAAAUUUAAACACCAAAAUUUGUAUUUAUGAUAUACAUAUAGACUCGCAACCGUAUAUACUAACGGUACAUGAAAAGAUUUACCCAAAAAAGAAACCCUAUUACUCCAAGACAAAGAAUGACAUUUUAUAUUAUACUUUUUAUUUUUUUUUUUUGUUUCAAUAAAUGUCAUGUGUAUAUGAUGGAGUUCACGGAAUGAUCUAUCAAUUCUAUCUCUGAUAUUUAUUACUGGCUAAUUGCAUGGCUUGAUUCAUAUUGACAAUUAGGUUUAGGGAUGUAAUAGGUUUAAUUUUUAAAUGUCAGGGACAAAAUUGUUUCGUUUUAAAAGUGAAUGACAAAAAGAAUAUUUUUGUGAAAUGUAAGGAAUGAAAUAGAUAUUUUACCCAAAAUUUUUAUAUUUUUUGUGAAUAUAUUUUUUUUAUCAUUUUUUUUAUCUUACAUAUAUCAAUUUAUUAUAAUAUAUUUUUUAUAAGAAUUCUUAAAAAUAGCAAUCGAAACAGAACUGUGACCACAAAAUUGAAGUUGGCAAAGCACUGUGCCAUUCGAGCAUAUAUAGUACGCGAAUUUUGGUCUGCAUGGUAGAGUAAUAUGUCAAUGUGGAAUGCUUUGCAAUGGACAAUAACUCCUUUUCUUUUGGAAACUAAAAUGUCAAAUACCAAUACGAAAACUCAUGAUAAUAUUUCACUAUCCCCCUAUUUUAUAUCUUUGUGACUUCUUCAAUACUUAUUAAGACAUUAAGGAGCCAAUUUCGGAAGUUGAGAUUAAUGCACUUGUAUUUGAGCUAAUAAAUAAUUUUUAUGGAGUGAACUCUAUAGAAUUCCUAAAAUGGAAAAAAAAAGAAAAAGAAACAAUUGACUACAAGGAGAUUGUAAGAAAGAAUGCAAUUGAUAUUACAUGCAAUUUUUUCCCUCAUUACUGUUCUCUUUCAAUUUAUUCUUCUCAAUUUUCUUCGUUUGUCAGACUGUAUACAAAAUUGACCAUAAUAUAUAAAAUAGAGCGGAGAAAUUAAUGAGUAGUGUACAGAAAAAAAAAAAGACAAAAGAGAGUCUAUGUGAUAAUGUCAUGCACUUUCCUAAAUCGCAAAAGACUCGUUUAUUUGCACUUUAGAUAUGCUUAUCUUUUUACUUGCAUUCUGAUUGGACUUCGAACUUAGAAGUGAACCCUUCUCUCCAUUAAGUUGGUUUUUAUCUACUUUAGCAAGUUUUCAAAAGACUGGAGAUGGUUAAAGUUCUUCGUUUUGCAGGAGUAGUUUGCCUUUAAAGUUGUGAUUCGAUUCUUGUUUUUAACAAACUGCAAUGAUUAUUGGGACCCAUAAUCUUCAAAAAUAUAUUUAGGGAAAAUUUCAGAAACCUCCCUUGAGGUUUUAACAAUUUCAUUUAGCUCCCUCAAGGUUUUAAAAUUACACAUACCUUCCUUAUCAUUUAAAAUGACAAUACUACCUUUAAAUAUUUUAAUAAAGUUCCCUUGUUUGGUAUGCUUAUACUUAGAAUGACUUUUAAAAUUAUUUUUCAUUAUUUUUCCUUCUUAUUCUUUUUUUAAAUUUUUUGCCAAUAAAAUUGUUGAACUAGUACUAUUACCUAUAGUUUCUAUUGUAACCAAAUGUCGAAAUAGUUUUUUUAUGAGUUAACUUAUAUGUAAUCCAAUAUUUUUGCUAAUCUUUAUUUUCUAUCUUUUAGUAUUAAAAUUAAUAAUAAAUAAAAAAGAAAUGGCCCUAAGCCCCUACUAAAUUAUGAUAAUCCCACUACUCGAAAAAAUUCAUAAACUCUAAAUAAAUUACUUCAACAUUUUCUUUUCUAUCUUAUAAAUCUAAAUCUAUAAUAAAAUAUUAUCAAAAAUAUCCUAUCAUAGUGAUAAAAUUACUAUUAUAGUUGUUUAUCAAAUAGUAGGUAUGGACAUGAAAAAUUUGGCAUAUUUUCUUUAUAAUUAUAUUAGAUAAUCUUAUAAUUGUAUAGGAAAAUAAAUUAAAACUCAUUACACAUGGGCAUUUUUGGGUAUUCAUUUAAAAAUUUGACUGAGUCAAUAUUAUUUUAAGGUUUUGUUACUAAAAGGGAAAAUUGUUCAAAACAUCCCUCAUAUUUUGUAAAAUGACUUUUUUCAUCACUUACUUUUAAAAGUAUAAUUUUAUGUCCCUUACAAAUUCACAUUGAUCAAAUUUGGUUUCUGUCUAGGUUUUCAACUAGUUUUUUAUCAGAAUUCAUCAUGUGCUUUACGUGUGAUCAUUUUUAGGGGCAAAAUUGUCAAAUUAAAAUUUAUAUAAUCCAAUCCAUAACCUCUCACAUUUGACAAAAUAAAUUUUUUUGUCCCUUAUAUUUCAGAAAAUGAAUUGUUUCAUCUCUCAUAUUUUACAAAAUAAAUUUUUUCAUUCCUCGUUGAUCAUGUGUAUGAAUAAUUUUUUUUAACUCAUGUAUAUAUCUAUUUGAUUUUACCUGAACAAUACGAAUAGUAUCUAAUGUAUCUCUAUUUGAUUUCAUCUAAACGUAUUGUUCAAAUGAAAUUAAAUAGAUAUAUACAGGGAAUUAAAAAAAUUAUUAGUUUUCACUCAUGUUCAUUUCCUUUUAUUUGAAAAUUAAAAAUAAAGAAGAAAAAAUUAACAAAGGAAAAGUAUGAUAAAAAGAAAUAAAUGAUUGACACUUUCAAAUUUUAAAACAAUCACAAGGCAAGAAAUUCAACUAUUAGUUUAAAGGAGACGAGUAAAAAUUUCAGAUUUAAACUAUAAUUUAUUAGCAUGACUAUAGAAUUCGAUUUAGCACCGAUUAAUUAUAUGGCGUUAUUACACAAUUCAAUAAAUGAAUUAUUAUCAAAAGAGAAAAUGCUAUAAAUAUUGAGUAGAUUCACAUAGUGAAAUCAAAUAGAUAUGUAUAUAUAUAUAUAUAUAUAUAUAUAUAUAUAUAUGGGGUUUAAAACAAAAUUGUUAGUUUUAAAUUCAUGUACAUAUCUAUUGAAUAGCAUGUAUAUAACUAUAAUUAGUCUGUUUAUGUGAAAUCAAAUAAAGAUAUAUUACAUACUAUUCAUACUAUUCAGAUAAAAUUAAAUAGAUAUAUACAUGGAUUUAAAAAAAAACUAUUCAUACAUAUGAUCAAUAAGAAAUGAAAAAAUUCAUUUUGUGAAAUAUGAGGGAUGAAAAAAUUCAUUUUAUGAAAUGUGAGGGACAAAAUAAUUCAUUUUGUGAAAUAUAAGAAACUAUAGAUCAAAUUAUGUAAUUUUUGAUUUGAAAAUUUUACCCCUAAAAAUGAUCACAUGCAAAGUAUGCGACGAAUUUCGACCAAAAUCUAGUCGAAAAUCUAGAUGGGAAUCAAAUUUAAUUAAUGUGAAUUUGUAAGAGACGUAAACUUACAUUUUUAAAAGUGAAGGAUAAAAAAAGUCAUUUUACAAAAUGUGAUGGACAUUUUGAACGAUUUUUCCUUACUAAAACUAUCAAAUCAAGGGAGGUAGGUAUUUCCAAACCUGGAGGGAGCUCACUGAAAUUGUCAGAAACAGGGAGGUUUCUAAAAUUAUCCCAUAUAUUAAUUUAAGAAAGCAAUGUCUUUGGUCCAAAAAAUAAUGGAAUCAACACAAGAUUAGAUCAGAACCUUGAUUACUAAUUAUUUAGUUAAUAAAGUUCAUAUGCCAUAAUGGUGUUGUUAUUUACAUGAACAUGCAAAAUACCUAUUCCUAAAUAUUCUUCUUAAAAUUUAAAAUUUUCUUAAGGUAAUCCAAGUCUGUGUUACAUCAGCCAUUACAAGAAUGACAAAUGAAUCCUAUUCUGAAGGACCGAGGCUAUGGAUGUCAAACGAAUUCUUUUCCAGUCUACAUAAAAUUAAGGCCUUAUGAAAUCUUUAAGUUAUUCCUGUGUUAGAAAAUAUUAUUUGUGUUAGAUAACAAAAUUAGUUCCAAUGACAUCAUUCAUUGGAUGUCAUUAUAAAAUUUAAAUGCAUAUUCUACAUUAAUGGCAUUCAGGAAUAAUUCAAAUUCACGAAAGAAAAUUUCGUAUUUAUAAUUUCCCUAGAAAUCUCUAGUUCAGACGUUGGAUUGAGAUGAUCGUACUAUUGAGGCAUAACAAUAAGAAUUAAGCACCCCACUUUUUUUCUAUUGCUUCUUGUAACCCAAAAAAAAAAAUUGCUAUUGCUACAAACCUAAAAGCCAUUGCAAGUAACCGUCAGUCAAAAAAUCCCCCUCACAGCGAAGUUCACAUUACGAAACAAUUUUUACUAACCGAGGCCAAACCAUAUAUCAAAAUUUUCAGGAUUUUGAUUUUGAAUAUCUCAUUUUCAUGUUGGGUUUUAUUAUUAAAUCCACAUAUGUCAAAAACUAAUUCAUGCUAUCAUUUCUUUAUUACUUUAUUAAUUUGUUGUAAGCCAUUUUGAAAUUGGAGCAAGAAUGCCUACAUGUGUGUGUGUGUGUGUGUGUAGGACAUGCAAGAACUAAAGAUGUUUCAGUUAAUUAUAUGACACAGCUGAACCUUUUAUUUAUAGGUCCUGACUUUUAGCCUCUCCCCUAACUUUUGUUCAUGUUUAGGUUAAUUGCACUUUAAAAUGGUUACAGCUUUUUCUUUGAACUAGCAAUUACAUCAUUCAUAUUUUGAAUUUAUUCUACAUAAUCAUCUCAGAAUGUGUCGCAGGAAGUGAUCUUUAAUUUGAUUAAAAUUAAUUAGCUCAUUCAAUCAAUUAAGUUACGAAAUUUUAGUAUAUUCUUUCUCAUAACACUGAGUACUAAGCAAAAGAGGCUGUCCGACUUUCCAUGAUCUGUUAUGGAGUAGACAGGAAGUGCUUCUGCUCUUUUUAAAGGAGACAUUAAUCUUCGGAUUUCAGAAAUGCAUAAUUAUGUGAGCUUCUUAUUUUUUACCAACAUUUCGUUGAAUGAAGGAUUUGUGUGGCAAAUAUCAAAAUCAAACAUUUGGGAGAUCAAAAAGUAGGUUUCUCUUGGGCACCUUAAAAGUACCUUAAACUUAGCUCUUGACUGCCAAUGGCGAUGCAAAAUUCUCCAUAUAAUUUCUUAAUUAAUCAAAUCAAUCCUUUUAGCAAAAGGUUACUACCGGUGCCCUCAAGACAUUCGUUAACAUGCUAAGUAUUCACCUAACCUAUUAUAUAUGUAUACACACACACGCACACUAACAAUUGCUAUCCAUCCUUACAUUUAUAUACUUUUUCUAUUUAAUCUUACCUACCAUCCCUUUUAUUUAUUUAUUUUUUCUAAUUAAUCUUGUAUUUUCAAAAAUGUAACACCUAAACUAUAUAUUAACGAAUAGCCUAUGGGCACCCAUUAAAUAGUACGUUAAAAAGAUACCAAUCAUAAUUUAAUCCAUGGUUUCCAAACAAUGAUUAAAUUUAGUGCUUAAUUUAUGCAAACAAUGCAAGAUCUUUAUGAGUAUACAACAAUUAAUUCUAGCUCAAUCCACUCAAAUACGUAGUAAUAUGGUUCUACAAUGUACAGUAGUAAAGAACAAACUGCAAAAUACAUAUAGAGUAAAUUGUAGUUUCGUCACAAUUUUGAGUCCAUUAUGAACACAAGUACAAGAUUUAUAAAAAUAAGAUGUCUAAACAAUAUUAUUCCAAACAAAAAUAGACGUGUAUGUUGUAUAGACUAUACUACAUUGGCUAGUUCCUGACAUUAAAUGGUUUUAGGAGUUCUUUUAGAGUAUUUUGAAAAAGAAAGCCACAGAUUUUUUUGUUGUUGUUUUAAUACCUCAAUUUCCAUAUUCUAGUUGAUGCCAAAUUAAGAACCUUUUCUUAAAGUUAAUUUAAGGACAUUAAGGGCAAGUCACCAAACGAAGGAGUAUAUAUAUAUUUAAUUUUUUUUCUAAAAAUUGAGGGAUGGAAUUUAAAAAACGAGAAAGGAAUGGAGGAUUUGAAGUCAAAACUUCUAAUUCUUGGGGUGAUAUUUUUCUUUGCGGAGGGAUAGCAAAAGCACCAAAAUGUCGGGCCACAGCAAAAAAAGAAAAGAAAAGAAAAUAAAAUAAAAUGCCUCAAGGAUACAAAACUUGUCAGCAAAUUGGUGAGGAGCUAAUAUUUUUCCCCCCAAAACAAAAAAAAAAAAAAGUACUUUAAGGUUUAUAUCGCGCAUGACUGCAUAUGGGCAAUCUGUAAGCUAUCCGGGCUUUACGUAGCUUUUUAGCUAUAUGCUAUUUUGGUACGUAAGGAAACAAGUUCUUGCUUACACAAGUAGGCUUGGUUGGUCGAUAUGUGUCUCGAUUAUGUACGAAGGUUCUUCUUUACACCAUAUUGGAGAAAACAUUCCAAUAUCUUGAUUUGAUGUUCAUGAAAACGUCAAACUUUACUUUUUCUCAUGAGCCAAAUAUUGCAGAGAGAAAAGCCUAGAUUGUGCUUUAUCUUUCACAUAAAAAUAUGCAACCAAAAAGAAAAAAAAAAAAAAAUUCUCUCUUGCUUCAUCAUGAAGAUUUCGUCCAUAUAUACUAUUAUUCCCAUGAAACAAAGAUACCCCAAUACCAACAAUUUGGAGAAUCUUCAAAAAUCAAAGUGACAAAAGUUUAGCACAAGACGUAUAUAAAAAAAAGAAGCUAGGCAUACAGCAUGGAUAAUGAUAAGGGAAAAAGGGUAUCACCAGGUAUUGUCCAAAAGAAGAAUUUUUGUUACUUGUUGUCUUUCUUUUAUUUUUCUACAAUUAUUUUCUUCUUUUCAAAGGUGAUCAUCAUGGGGUCAAAAUCAUUUUUUUUGCCUUUUCCCCUUUAUCUUUUUCUUCAAGGGCCCUGCCAACAAAGUUGUCUCUUGUCAAUUAUACGGAAAGAGGUCUCUAGCUUGUUCUUGGACAUGGCUUGUCAUAAUUUAACUGGCUGAUUCUUUUUGUUCUUUUUUUUUUUAAGUUUACAUUUAUAUAAUGGACUUAAUUCAGGACGAAAAACUUCAAGGAGUUAACUUGGAAAAUCUACCAAAAAAUUACGUAAAAACCAAGAAGCAAAAUAAUUUAGUUGCUCCAUUUGAAGCAAUUUGACUCCGAAAGUUCCAAGAAAAGGGAAAGGAAAAAAGAGAAAUUCAUCACUCGGGAAAGAGGUACGAGUAUUACUGUUAAUGCUAAAAAAUAAGUAAGUUCCAAACGAUUAGUGAAAAAAGAAGAAUAUAUUAACAACAAUUUCUUUUCUUUCCUAACCAACCUUGGGAAAUCUUUACGAUUAAUGAAGAUUUUUUCUUUUCGAAAAUCAAUAAUCUAAUAGUAGAUGCUGUGCAUGUCAAAGUUCCAUGAAGCAAUAAUGUCAUAUCAUAGAGAAAUGAAAAAUACAUAAAGAAAAAAAGAAAAAGACUAAUCUAAAAGAUCUCUCUCUCUCUCUCUCUCUCUGAGUAACAGGAACAAAACUUCAACUUAAGCUUGCUACUACCCAUGAAGUGUGGACUAUAUCUUGAGAAUAGAAACGAGUGGCUUGAACUAAAAAUUAUGGAAGAAAAAGGCUAGUGAUUCGAGCCAAGGGAACAAAGCUGUCUCCCUUGUACUGGAAUAUGAAUACAAAUGGGAAGGAUAAACAUAUACCCAUAUUCUUUCUAGCUUGUUGGGAUGCUUGGUCUCCUUGAAAACUCCACUUUCGGUAGCAGUAUAUAUGCAAUAUCCACGGGUGGUUCAAGACUAGUCCAUUACUAAUAUAAAUCAACAAUCUCUUGAGAAGCUACAUAGGAGAUGAAGAAAGUUUCUUGGGAUUUUAAUCAAACUAUCACCCCAAAGCAGAUGUUUCUGUUAAUUUAAUUUAAUUUUCAUACUCGCUACACCUGCUAAUACCACCAUUACCAGUUCUUAGGCUUGCUAUUAUGGUAUAAUGAUAAUACACUUGUAAUUUAUCUACCUAAUUAAUGCAUCUCUGGCCAACAAAUUAUAAAAUGUAUUGUAGGAUUUUUAAAUUUUAAAUCUCAUGUUUUUGUAAUAAAGGUACUAAUUAGCAACUUACCUAACAGGUGCAAACACCGUUCCCAAGUGCAUUGCAUGGGUUAAAAUGGGUGUACACUCCAAAAAAUGUUCAAAGUGCUGCAAUCAAAGUUCAUCAAAAUGACAGAAUACCACACAAUUGGGAGCCAGGGAGGGAAAGGGGUUAUGGCAUUUGCUGAUGAGCCAUGUACCUAUUGCCAUUCACGGGUAUUAUUUAUUUUAAAAGAAUUCUGCUUUCAUCCACUCAAAGCCAAGGUUUAUGCCCUAUUUCAACCAAAAAGAUGUUGAGAUCAAGCUGGUUAUUUCAAAACAAGUUUUGGAUAGGAAGGGGGAAAUGAUCUCAUUUAUCAUUAAAAAUGGGUUCUGGCUUCCAAUAUCUUCAAUAAUUGAUGUCAGAGACGCAGUCAAAUUCUUGUUCAAAAUGUUUUCGAGGUGCAUGUAUUUAAUUGUGAGUACAAUUUAGUUUUCAAAUUAAUGUGUGUCUUUUCUAAUAUUGAACAACUUUAUCUCUGUUGUAGAACAUUUUAUAACAAGAAUGUGAAAACCUUCAGCAGAAGUAAAAACAGGCUUAUGGAUUACAGAAUAACAGCAAAUGUGCCAUUUGACAAAAUAAUAAUACUAGUAAUAAUAAUACUAGUAGUAAUAAUAAUAGUAAUAAUAGUAUUAAUAGUAGUAUUAAUAAUAGUAGUAAUAGUAACAACAGUAGUAACAGUAGUAAUAGUAGUAAUAAUAGUAAUAAUAAUAAUAAUAAUAAUAAUAAUAAUAAUAAUAAUAAUAAUAAUAAUAAUAAUAAUGAUAAUAAUAAUAAUUGGGUCAGAGCGCCAAGUGGAUAUUUAUUAUGAUAUGGUUCAGGUAUUGAUUAUUUUAAGAUAUAAAAAUAAAUAUGACAAUGUAUAAAUAGAAAAAAAUAA
rnacentral:lncRNA from 1 species